AAAGUGAUCGAAGGAGAUCUGCUGGAGCAUUACAAGAGCUUCAAGAUCACCAUUCACGCCACUCCAAAAGCUCAUGGUCAAGGCAGCAUCGUCCAUUGGACUAUGGAGUAUGAGAAGCAUCAUGGUGAUAUUGAGGACCCACAUACCUUGCUCCAGUUUGCAGUGGAUGUGUCCAAAGAUGUCGAUGCUCAUCUUACAAGUGCCCAGGCAUAAUUAAUUAUAAUCGAAGGCUUGAUUGAGGCGGGCUUAUAGGAUCAUCUGUGAUUCUGUGUGCUUCCUAUAUAUCUACUAUCCAUUUGCUUUCUUGCUGCAGAAAUAAACGCCUUCAAUCAAUGUUUGUAUCUUAAGUCUGCGUGGGCACUGGCCAACCUGAAACUUUCAUUUACUUGUGUUUGCCGUCCUUAUAUGAUAUGGGCUAGCUAUGUAUCUUUUAUUAAUUCCAAGUUGGGGCUUUACCCAUAUAAAGCCAUAUUUCUACAUACUCUUGAAAUGUGUUUCUACAUAUCUAAUGUCCUCAAUUGAUCUAGCGACUCAAGUUCAAAAUUUUCUUCUCUUGUUAAUUUAAAAAUAAAUAUCUGUAACGUCUCUCAUCCACUUAUCAUGGGCGAGACAUAAUUUGUGCGAUUUUAUGUAAGACCUAUAUCUAUCUAAUAUGAGAGAAUACGAACCCACAACCCCCACAAACCAAAUGAAAAAUAGAAUUAGAUUAUGGAGGCAAGAUAAGACCGAUCUUAUAUAUAUAUAUAUAUAUAUAUAUACAGUCCCCUUCUAUUGAGGGAUCCCUUAAAUAAUUUUAUUUGAGGGACGCCCUUUAGGGUACCCUACAAUUCUUUUCCCAAUAAUCCAAACCAUCUAAUUUUUAGGUAUUCAUUCAUAGAUCAUCCUUAUAAAAAAUUAGACAAAUCGGAAACCGUUUCGACAUCCAAUUGUGUCUUACAAAAUCAAUGAACACGGUGCUUUAAGAAAAGUACUAAAAUUUCAAUAACUCAAUUGAGUGGUCACAUGAUAUCGGAUUCAAGUGAUUUUUUGUAGAGAUGAUCUUUGAAUGAGUAUCUACAAAAGAGACGGUUUGGAUUAGUGAAAUACAAUCCGGAGUGGGGCCUACAAGGAGUGUCCCUCAAAUAAGCUUAUUUGAGGGAUCCCUCAAUGGAAGCUCUCUGUAUAUCUAUAUAUAUAUAUUUAUGAGAGUAAGUUAUCAAGACAGAAUUAUUACGGAGAAAGAUGUUGGAAAUAUGAGUGCUAAAUUGCUAUAAAAUAAACAAAAUAAAUACUGCACAUAAAACAUAUUUUUACAAAAAGAGAAUUGAAUUAGAAGAACCUUAAUUGAGUCAAGGCAAGUGUUGGACACUUUGACCUUAAGACGAAUUACGCCCCACACUGGUGCUUAUGGUUCACUAGCGUUCGCCUCCCAGGAUACAACGACUCCCUUCCUUAUGAAAGAAGCACUACAAUUCACAAGGAACUUUGAACCAAAAUUAUGAAGGAACCUCUCUUUAUGAAAACUCUAAUGCUCUCUAUAUAUGAAAGUAUGUAUGUAGAGAAUUGAUUGAAUGAAUAAAACUGCAGGAGGAUUGCUCUAUUUAUAGAUGAUGAAAUACCCUUUCCAGAAAUGUAUCCCAAUCUAAAAAGGCAAACAAUCACUACAAAAAAAAGGGUCAUUACCGACCAACAUUUUCCGAGGGUCCUGAAAUUCCCUCGGUAAAAGUAUUUUUUCGGACCAAAAAAUGGUGUCCGUUGGAAAUAUGUCAUAGGGCUGAAAUUUGUUUCCGACAAAAAAAAUACCCUCGGAAAAAGUCUCUAUGGUCGUCGGAAAUGUAAUUUAUUUGGAGGGAAGACUUAGCGCCAACUUUAUUAACGACAAAAAGUAUGUUUGUCGGAAAUAUGAUGAUUAUUUUCGAGGGGUUUCUCAUUCCGUCAGAAUUGUUUGACUAUUUCCGAGGAGAAAUAUGUCCUCUCGGAAAUGCCGUUAUAUUUACAACCAAAUUCAUACUCAAUGGUAAUAGUUGUGCUUUUUUCCGAGGGCAUAUUCACUUUUGUCGGAAAUCACAACCUAUUUCCAAGGGCAAAAUAUGUUCGUCGGUAAUAAAUUUUCUAUUUAUGAGAAGAAUUAGGGACCGUUGGAAAUGAUUAUCUUAAAAUUUUCAUAAUAAAUUAAAUAAAAAUAAGAAAAAUACACCAAAAAAAGCUAUGCACUCCUGACAAUAAAUCCUUCAAUUUUAGAGGCUAAAAUCAUGAUUCCACAUAAUUCAGUUCAUGGUAAUUAUUGGAUCAAAGAAGCAAGAAUGUUAGGUUAUCAAACAUUAACUAGUGUUUGGUUUGUUUACCAACUAAGUUGAGUUUUUGUUGUCACUUUGAAUUUUUAUAAGUAAACAAAAAAAAAGAUUUCCAAAGCUUUAGGAUGAAGAGAAUGUCAUCACUAGGAUUUCAUAGGAAUUUUCAGUGAAUUUUUUGGAUUUUUAAUGUAUUUUAUAUGAUUUUUAGGAGUGAAAUCAUGUAAAAUUCAUAUUAAACUGAAUUGAUCGACAAGUGGCAGCUUCUUUGAGGUGCAUUUUCUGUAUUGGUGACUCGUCCUCAUACCACAAUGCCAUCUGUCCUUUUUCUUACUUUUUGUUGUUUAUCUUAAAAAAAUUAAUAACAGAUUAAAUAAAAAUCUGAAAAAUGCACCAAGAAAAGAUACGAACUCCUUAUGAAAAAUCCUUUGAUUUUAGAUGUCUAAAAUCAUGAUUCCACAUAAUUGAGUUCAUGGUAAUGAUUGGAUCAAAGAAGCAAGAGUGUUAGGUUAUCAAACAUUAACUAGUGUUUGGUUUGUUUACACAAACUAAUUUGAGUUUUUGUUGUCACUCUAAAUUUUUAUAAGUAAAAAAAAAAGAAUUUUGAAGCUUUUGGACGAAGAGAAUGUCACUAGGACUUCGUAGGAGUUAAAUCAUAUAAUAUAUUCAUUAUGAUUUUUAGGAGUUAAAUCAUAUAAAAUUUAUAUUAAAUUGAAUUGAUGGACAAGUGGCAGCUUCUUACAUGCGCCACCUGUCCUUUUGCUUAUUUUCCCUAAUUAUUUUUUGCCAAUUUCUGCCCAAGUUUGUUUUUUCUAUGCACUUUUUUUCACAAAAACUUACUUGGAGAAGGUGAGGGUAGGUUUUGGAGUAAAAAAGCAUAAGAUGAAGACAUUUUUUUAUAUAUAAUUUUGGAGCUUUAAAUAGAAGAGAAUAUCACAAGGAGUUCCUAUGAAUUUUCAGUAUAUUUUUCUGACUUUUAAUUUAUUUAUUAUAUAUAUUUUUGGAUAUUUGACUUAAACUCUUUUUUAUUUAUUUGGGAAUUGGUGUGGGGAAGAGCCCUUUCAUUUUUCAUUGACCGCCAAAUAACUCCAGCCAAAACUCAAAUUUCCCCCUUCUUCACCAGCAAAAGUGAAAAAUGGGCAAUUUCAGAAACCUAGCAGCCGCCUCCAACACUCACUCUCCCUAUGCGUCUCUCUCUCAUCCCCCUCUCUCACUAAGUCAUUGUCUCUCCCUCUGCGUCUCUCUCUCUCAUCUCAUCCAUCUUCGUUUGCCUCUGACCGUCUCUGUCUCUCUCUCACGAUCUCACCCUCUCCGUCUCUCUCCCGAUCUCACCCUCUCCGUCUCUCUCGCGAUCUCACCCUCUCUGUCUCUCUCCCGAUCUCACCGUCUCUGUCUCUCUGUCCUCUGUCUCAAUUAGUUAGAUUUCAGUUCUCUUUUUCAUGUCUCUGUUUUUUUACUUAUUUGUCAAUUGUGCAUUUUACUUGCGGUGAUUUGGUUGUGCAGGUUCUGUCAUGAAGCAUCAACUAUGAUGAGGUAUACUUCACUGAGCCUUUCUGGUAUUCCAGAUUUAUUAAGAUCUUUGCCUUGACAAUUAUUUAUUCUAUGCAUACUUGGAUUGAUUGUUAAUGGUCAUGGUUCUUUAUUUCAUGUUUUAUUUUCUGUUGCUCUGCUUUAAUGGCUAAAAUAUUUGGGUUUGUAAUGUACUCUCGAAAGAGCAAUACCUAAAAUAGGGCUUCAAAUUAAGUACUUCAGAAAAUUUCUUAUAGCAUGUAUUUCUGUUGUAUUAGGUACUGAUAUAAUGCGGGUUUGAUGUUCCUCUACAAAUUCUUGAACUAUUUCCUUAUGGUAUCCUAACCAUAUAUUUUCUCAAACUUAUUACUUGGAAUGCGGGUUUUGAAAUGCAGGGACAUACCAAGCCUAUCCUUUCUGUGUGCUGGGAUCCAUCUGGUGAGUUCCUUGCAUCAGUCAAAUUAUACAUGGUCACCCUAUAAGGUAAUAAUAGGAUACAGUAAAUUCUUCUGAUUUGUUCUUUUUCAUUACUGUGUGUUUGAUUAGGCAUAAUGACUUAACAUGAGUUUAGACUGUUGUAUGUGGUCUAUUUAUGUCAAUUGCCUGUGGGUCAAUCCAUGUUCCCAUGUUACCUCUUUAGUUUCAUGGAUAUCUUGUAUUUGCCCUGAGUAUUUUUUUUCCUUAAUAGCUUUUACUGGUGGUUGACUUGAUUUCCACGGUUAAUGAUUACCUUUGUUUUUUACACAGGUUAGAGCAUACUUACAGCGUCAAUGGAAGCAGAUUCUAUCUGGAAGGGUGUCUCUUCAGGAUUUUGUAUCUGCAAAGGAGGUUCGCCUAGGCACCUACUGUGAGUGUAUCUAUUUUUCUGUUCUUAUUUCAUUACUGUUUGUCAUGUAUUGUCUUCUUACUUGAUAUAUUUGAUUUUACACAUUGACUAAAACUUUGUUUUGGAAACAGAACUAGCUCUGUUCUUGUUUUGGCAGGAUAAACAAACAAUGUUAUUGUUAAUGGGAAAUAGCAGCAGCCCAUCAUUAGCGAAGAUUCAAAGGAAGCUAUGAAGCAUGCAUUCGAACUCUUUAAUGUUCGAUUGGAAGUAGACUUUGGGACUAGUGAUAUAGGACAUAGCUUAGGAUUGUAAUGAAUAUUUGUAAUUUAUUACAUUUGUCUUUUAUUAAUGAUGAUAUAUACUAUUCUUCGAACAACAAUUUUUCAAUUGAAAUAUUAUUUAGAUUUUUUGACAAAAUAUUUGUACGUUUAAUGCUUAUAAAUGUAGUCGGAAAAACAUUUUUUUCGACAAGCUUCCAUGUCGAAAAAGCACAAUUCCAACGAAUUAUAUUUAUCACAAAUAGUAAUCUAGGGUCGGAAAUACUAUUUUCGACAAAUAGUCAUUGGUCGAAAAAAUAAUAUGGCAAGAACAAAAGAUCUCGAUCAAAAAUUAUUUCCGACAGGUGCGCAAGUAUUUGCGACCACAUUUAUUGUUGGAAAUGAAUUUGUAUGGUUGUUUUGAAAAUCUAUUUCCGAUAAAAAUAUAAGCAAUAUCGACGGAAUAUGGGUGUCGAAAAUACAUUAUUUCCGACGGAAUGGUCGGAAAAAAAGUAUUUGCAACCGUCGUUUUACCGACGACUUCCGAUGAACUUUUGCCGUCGAAAAAGCGAAUUUCCGACGGCAAAAGGCUUUUUGCGACCACAAAAUACCCUCGCUAAAGGCAUUCUGUUUUGUAGUGAAUGCAUCCCUUCGUCUAAAGCGUUGUCACCCCAAAUAAUGCAUCCCUUGGUUUGAAGAGUUGUCACCCCCCAUGUGAAGAUGUCUUUAACCCAAGGGUCAUGUCUUUAACCCAAUGAAUUUUAUUAAUUUCCAUUCAAAUAGGAAAAAUUAAUAUUAGUUAAUAUUAAAUUUUCAACAAAAGAUAGAUGUAGCCUUGCAGCCGCCAGCAACCACCAACCCAUGCGGCUGGAGCCUUGCAGCAAACAGCAAACUCUGCAUAGCUGCUGCUGCUUUGCCGCGCCACUCCACCAUUGGGACGCAGUAGCAGCCGGGCCAUACGGCUGCUGGAAUUACAGCACAGCUGCAUUGGCCCAUGGCCUCCUCCUUCACCUUACCGCCGCAAGGGCCAGGCAUCGACGUCACCGCCCAUGACGGUGUGGCCAUUCACGGCAAUCUCAACACCGUCCCGGUCUUGGAAGAAAUCUAUCCACUCUCCCAUUUUCCAUCACACAUGGCGUAUGCACCUGUGUACUCGUCCAAUGGAGCCCUAGCCCAUAUGCCUUUGGGCCCAAUGCACGCCACUCUUCCCGGGCUACGCAGUCAGGUGGACCUUAACUCGCGAGUUGAUCAACUUGCACAGAGGGUCGACGACUAAAAUAAUUUGAUUGGCCAACUACUUAGGCAGAUCAACUUAGAUCAAGGCCUUGAAUCUUGGGUCCCCAGACAAGAAGAUGAGGAAACACGAGCACACCGGCGCACAGUUCGAGAGGUCGCAGGUCGGUCGGACAGAGAAAAACGGGCAUGGGAAAGAAUGAGAUCGUGUUGAAGAGACGCAGACAUCUGCAAGCCGUACUCUGACUCGGUAGACGAUCUGUUCAAGGUUAGGUCCAAUGACCAAUGUGUACGAGAGACUGGCCCACAGUCCGAUGUCCACACUUGUUUGGGUCCACAAGGAAGUAUCUAUUCUAAGUUGGGCAUGCAAGGAGUAGAGUUUGUGAACGUUUGCGUGAUGAACACAAUGACUGACGCUCACAAAUUCGCCCGAGAACCAACUCACGGGGACGAGUCGUUGAGGAACCCUUACAAGGUCAAUCUACCAACCCGCCCAGCAGGUAGGAAAACCAAGGGGGUUGACCCUUGGAGGCUGAAGAGAAAGUUAACCAACGGUGUUCGAGGCACAGAAUAUAUCGAGAGGCUUGUGAAUGACCGACUCCAGAGUCUCCAACUUAAAGGAAGCAUGGAGGAGGCUCUACGCAGGGAAGUUGAUCAAGUCAACUCAUCGCCCUUCACUGACAAGGUAGAGCAGGCUACACCUUCGAAAUGGUUCACAACACCGUUCAUCACUCCAUUCAAGGGGGACUCUAACCCUGAUAGCCAUUUGAAACACUUCAAGAGUGCUAUGAUCCUGUACAAGACAGAUGACGCCCUGAUGCGCAAGGUGUUCACGAUGACCUUGCGAAGAACAGCUCAGGACUGAUUCUACACUACAAGAAAACUGGGUGUUUACAGUGUGCCAUUUACGGCAUGCAUAGGUUGCACGCCGUAAAAGACUACUUUUCAUGGCGUGCAAUUUACACGCGCCAUAAAUGAGAUUUCCCCUUCCUUUGUUAUGACAUGUUUUUAUUGCGUGCCUUAAUUUUUGGCUAUUCAAGGGGUGCAAAAUAUGCAUGCCGUGAAAAAAAGACUAUAUUAAUGACGUGCAAAACAUGCACGCCGAGAAACGCCCCUCAUUUAAUUUUUGUUGCCCGCGAAAACACUUCCUUUUCCCUCUUAGAAUUUUCAUAUUUCAGAAUACUCUCCCCUAAAAUUUUUCGUGUAACAUUCUUUUCUUCUUCCCCAAAUUUCUCCCUCUCUCUGACCCUAAACUCUCUCUCUCUCUCUCUCUCUCUCUCUCUCUCUCUCUCUCACCCAAAACCCUCUCUAGCUCUAUCUGACCCCAAAUCCUUGCGAUUCUCUCUAACUCCAAACCAUCUAUCACUCUUUCUCAUCUAGAAAUUCUCUUGAUUCCCAAACCCUUUCACGACUGCAAUCUCAAGGUAACCUUAACUUUCUCUAUCGCUAUUUUAUUUUCCAGAUUUUUUCAAAAUGUUCUUUCAAUUUAGCUUUGCGGAACCUCACGGCUGCACUCUCAAGUUGGUUUUACUAAAUUUUAGGGAACCUCACUGGGUAUGAAGUUUCAAAUUCUUUCAAUUCUUUCAAUUAAUGUGCAGGUAUUACUAAAUUUCAAAUUCUUUCAAAAGUUUAAUUUAGAUUUAGAUUUUAUUUAUUUAUUUAAAUUUUGCAGAAACUAAUAGUGCCUUGGUUUGUUUUUAGAAGAGGUGCCAUGUGAUUGGUUGAAGAUGUAGAAAAAGCUGGGUGAGAGGUAAAAGUCAGCUCCUUAUACACUUAUACACUUAUUUUUAAUUUUGUUUUAUUUAUUUUUCUGCUUAGUUCAAUUUUUCUUUUUCAAACCAGAUUUGAGACCUCUUGUUGGCUUCUCUAAUCUCAGCCACCCACUUCACCCAUUUUCUCCAAUAUAUGUUCCUUUGGUACAUGUAAGUAUACUUAAUUUCCACUUGCAUUUAGUUUCGUUUCUUUAGUUAGGAAAUGGUGGUGAUUGUGAUUAAUUUUCUCCUUCUUUUGGUAUGGCCAUUGAAUUGACUAAUUUGCGUUUGAAAUUGAAGAGAAGCUAUCCAAUUGGGAUGGUAUUGGAGUAGAAGAGCCUUUGAAGCUUCUCUUCAGAAGACUAGCUAGAGGUUUGAUUUAAUUUCUUCCUAAUACGGCAUAAGUUAUAAGCAUCUAUUACAAAACGGGAUUGACAGAUUGACAGACCCAAACCCAACACAAGAUUUAUGUUAAUUAUUCAUAUAAGAUUUAUACUUGUUUUUUAAGAUUGUUCAGAAGUCUUUUGGGGUAGAAGUUGUUAAGUUUCAGUUACCCACGUUGACUGUUAAUUUUGCACUGUUGGUUAUAAGUACUUGGUUUUAAACUAUACAUAUUCAGGAUUGUAAUUUGGUUGAAGUUUGAUACCUAAGUCUGGUAAGCAUGACUACAAAAUCUGUCAAAAACAGGGGCUGCAGUUUCAGUUUUGAAACACUUACUUUGGACUGCCUUAUCUUAUAAAUUAGAGCACAAUUUCUGUCAAAUUUUAUAUGGUUUCAAAGUUUAUUUAAUCAGCUUCAGGAUGCAUGUAAAUUGGUAGAUUUUUAUUGAGUUUAGGGUGUUUAAUUCUGAGUUCAAAGUUUAAUGCACAGUAGCUGAAAUUGCGUUAGUUUCUCUGGUGGUGCAGGAGCAACAACAGUUACCUAAAAGCUCAUCAUGUCAAGACAUAAGUUGGUGGUUCAAUUGAUGAAUGUCAAGGUAAACUUAAGUUAUACACACAACUACCUACUUGAUCAUAAUACCAUAAACAUUGGAGUUUAUGGUUCAGUUGCUGAUAGAAUAUUUGGAAGCAACAACAAAAACAUAGCCAAAUAAUUGGACAACCAGCUGAUGGUAGCCCUGCUACACAGUUUGAGCAUAGGUUAGAUGUGGUUUGAUGUGUUAGAGAUUGAUUUUUGUUAUUAUAUUCAUGAAUUAAUGGGUUGGAGAGAUUGUGAACAAGUUCAUUAUAGGUUUGGCAGCACUUUUAUGUGUUUCUUUUAUACUCUAAAGAGUUCGUAUUUAGAAUUGAUUAUGAUUGGUAUAGGUUCUCUUUUCAAGUUUGGUUGCAAUACCACAUUUUUUUUCCCCAAGGUAAUAAAAGAUAUAAGUAUAUUGUUACUACGAAAUAAGAGUAAGGAGGAAAUUAGUUAUUUUUUAAAAAAUAAAGUCAAACACGGCGUGCAAAACACACCUUAAAUGGGAAUAAAACACUCUUUUAUGGCGUGCAUUGAAUGUCGUAAUAACUGUUUUAUGGCGCGCAAGGCAUGCCAUAAAUAGUUGUCCAAACUUUUACAAAACCUCAAUCAUGGCGUGCAUUAUUAAUGCUUGCGGCAAGCGAAUGCACGCCAUAAAAGAAAAAUACCUUUUACAGCACGCCUUUUAUGGCACACAGCAGCACGUCGUGAAUUGUCAUUUACAACGCUCAUCACACGAUGUAAAUACCCAGUUUUCUUGUAAUACACUUUACCGUCUGCAUCAAUAGGCAGCUUCAAGGAGUUUGCCCUCAUUUUCAUAAAAAAAGUACACCUCCUACCGGACGGUCAAAAAACAACCAGACCAUCUGUUUAACCUGCACAAGAAGCCUGACGAGUCUCUACGAAACUAUAUCAAGAGAUUCAAGGCUGAGAAGGUAAACAUCAUAGGAUGCAAUCAUCUAAUCGCCAUCGCAUCCUUAGCUUUCAAGAAAGGCUUGCCAGCAGAGCACGAGUUAUACUGUGAGCUGACCAUCAUUCCAAGCCAAACCCUAAUAGAAGUCUUUGCUAUGGCAGAGCGCUACGAACUCUAGGCCGACGAUUGUAUCGCCGCGAAGAAAGUAAGCAAACAAACUGAUCAACUGACUAGGUAGGCAAGCCAAAAGAAUGACAAGUUCGACAACAAGAACAGGGACAAGCUCAGAUCGCAGCCCCAAGGAGGAGUCUCGAUAGCAGAAACCUUCACUGAGUUUACUAUCUCGAUUCACUAGAUUCUGACACAAGUGAAGGAUAAGUCUUGGGUGAAGAGACCGCCGCUUUAGAAGGGAGACCCGACUAAAAGAGACACUAGUUCGUAUUCCACGGAGAGCACGAUCAUUACACAAACAGCCGCUUUGCCUAGAAAAGGCACCUCGAAGAGCUGAUUAGAGAUGGCCACUGCACGAAAUUCAUUGCAAAGAAGGUUAUCUAGCAGAUCAAGAACCGUGACGUAGCCGCCAAAGGACCUCCCCAAAAGAUCAUAUGGAUCAACACAGUCCUAGCUAACUCCUAGGAGUUCGGAUUGACCACCAGGGAGUGAAAGAGAAAGAUCAAGCAAGUGACUGUCGUCUCCUAAGUCAUAACUGACAACCCCGCCAUUGAGGACACUCCUAUCAUUGGCUUUCAGAAGAAGGGUCUAAUCGAGCAUGAUCUACCAUACCAUCAUACAUCGUCAUCUACAUCCAGAUUGAACAAGCUAUGAUCGAGCGAGUUCACGUGGAUGAAGACAGUGCGGUCAAUAUCCUGCAGCUGUCAAUUGUUCAGCAGACUGGAAUGGAGCCCAAGAUCAACAAACUUGCCAAAUUGCUCACCGGCUUCAACAGGGCGACAUCAAUCAUUAUGGGUAUGAUAGACCUUAACAUUCAUUCACCACCGAUAGUCUGCUCGUAGACUUUCAUGGUCAUUAACGAGGUUUCACCUACAACGGAAUCCUGGGCCGACCAUAGAUCAGCAAGAUUGAAGCCGUCUCAUCCACUUCACACCAGAAGAUCCGCUACCCCAUCCCCAAGGAUGGAAUCAUGUAGAUCAAUAAUGAUUAAGCCAUGGCAAGGAGAUGCAAAGCCCAAGGCCUAAAGAAGAGCAAAUAGUUGCAGGUCACACUGGUGAUGCAGACUACCGACGAAGCAAGUCGCGCUCCCGAUAGACAAGCAAACCUGAAAGGAAAAGAAAUUGCCAUCUCUAAAUAGCAACUAAGAAGCCAUGAUCAAGACGAGGGAAUCUGCUUGGAAGGCUCCCCUUAAUAAGGUUGGAAGCCUGAGAAAGACGUUGAGUUAGUACCCCUUGAUCCUGACCAGCUAGACAGAAAAGCACGGAUUGGCUCACGCCUAAGCCUAGACGAUAAGGUGGAGCUGACUACCUUCAUCCAGAACAACAAGGACAUGUUAGCAUGGUCGCCAUCUGACACGCCUGGCAUCGACCCUCGAAUCAUAUGCCACCAGCUCGAUGUCAACCCAGCCAGCAAGCCAGUGGCGCAUAAGAGACGUAACUUCACUCCCGAGUGAGUCGCGAUCAUUGAAGCCGAGGUCGACAAGCUUCUAGCUACGGGCUUCAUAGUAAAAGUCUGGCUAGCCAAUGUUGUUCUGGUGGCAAAGCAAGAAAAUGGCAAGUGCAGAGUUUGUGUCGAUUACAUCAACCUCAACAAAGCAUGCUCUAAGGACAACUUCCAUUGCCGAGAAUCGACCAACUUGUGGAUUCAACUUCUGGCAAUCAGCUGCUCAGCUUCAUCGACACCUACUCCGACUAUAAUCAAAUCCUGAUGUACGAGGAUGACAAGGCGAAGACUUCUUCCAUCAUAGAAAGAGAGAUCUACUGCUACAAGGUCAUGCCCUUUAGGCUGAAGAACGCCAGAGCAACCUGCCAGUGGCUCAUGAAUAAAAUUUUCAAUAAGCAAAUUAGGUAAACUAUGGAGGUCUACGUGGACGAUAUGCUAGUUAAAGCUCUGGUCUGUCCUUGCAAGUGCACAAGAAUGAUGUAGUAUAGCAUUUGACAAGUCCAAGUAUCGUUCCCAUAAGGAUUCCAAAUUAGUCUAAUAUUCGAAUACCUAAAUUAAAUCUAACUGAUACGCAAGUGAAUUUAUAGAGAUUAUUGUUGUGAAAGUUUAUAAAACAAACAAGAAAUUAAUCAAAGCAACGAGAAUAUUUUUUAUUUAUUUAAAAAAGAUUGAAUUUUAAGGUUGAAUAACAAUGAUGAAGGUCUAGGGUUUCCGAAUCAACCACAAGCAAUCCAAGUUAGAUUUCAAUGCAUUCAACAGAUUCUUUCAAUUCUUUAGAUGAUAAUUCCCUUAUCUAAGUCUUUUUCAGGCACUUAGACCAUAGUUUUCCUUAAGUGUAAGAUUCUUUUCUAGUUCAGACGAAGAUCAUAUACCCAAUCCUGCUAUCUAUCCUGGUUAAGGCAUAAAUUUAACAAGUUGGAUUCAUUACGUUCUAGAAAACGAGAGAACCAAGCAAACCAUUACUCUUCGUCAAGCAAUAAUGUAACUCACCACACUUAAUCACAAAAAGCUAAUUGAAUUAUAUUGUGAGUUUUGUCUCAAAUUCAUUUUCCAAUUUACUAUACGUAAAGCCCUAAGGUGAUCAGUCAAAGUGAUCCAAAACUUCUAGUAGAUAGAACUAUGAAUUCCUAGUUUAUAGGAAUAAGGGAACGAAAGGAAUUUUAAGACAAUUAGAGAAACAAAAGGAAGAAGCUAAGGAACUGCUUUGAGUUCUGCCUUUUUGAAUUGCUUGCCCUAUUUCAAUGAAUAACUUACAUAUUUAUACAAGGUUCGGUUGCUAAAAUUAACUAAACUAAAAUAGUAAAUUAUUUUAAGCCAUAAAGAAUGAAUGGCCUAAAAUCUUACUUAAUUUGAACCAUUAACUUUUUAUGGUUUAUAACAAUUCGUUAUAAACCAUUAGUUUUUAUGGUUUUAAAUAACUUAAUAAUAUAAUAUAAUAUAAUAAAUUAUAAUUAUAUUAUAUUAUGUUUAUUUUUGUUGGUAGAUCCUCCUGGAUCAUGGCUCCCCCCUCUAAGAUGCUUGAGCUCCUGGUCAAGCUACAUUGAGAUGAGGAAACUCUAGUAUUGCCUUGUCUCGAAUAUACCAUUUCGAUUUGCUGGGAAGUUGCCCUUUACUACCAAUACGAAAAUACUCAUACUUUCCAUGUCGAGUCUCACGAACCUUUUGUUCCAAUAUACAAUCCUGCUGCAAAGGAUCUUCUUGUUCAAUCUAGUAUCCAUCAUUUCCCAUAAAGACCUCCAGAAAUGGCCUAAGAAUCGACUGUCUCUAUCAGAAAUAAUCGAUGUAUGUAAGCCAAAAUACUUCCAAACAUGUUGGAAAAAUAACUUAGCAGCUCCUUCUCCAGUAACGGUCUUCUUGCAUGGAAUGAGAAUCACCAUCUUACUGAAACGAUCUACCACCACAAACAAGUAGUCAUUUCCAGACUUGGUUUUAGGCAAUCCACCUAAGAAAUCCAUCGAGAUACUCUCCUAAGGUCGGCUAGAUGCUUAUCAUGGCGAGCUUUAUACCGUUGUUGAGAACGUUUCAAUUGUGCCUCUACUUCAAUAUGAAUCUUUCUGACUCGUUCGAGAAAUUUUUUUGCUCGAAUAUGUUCUUCUUCUUCUUUCCCACUUAAUGGUUGGUCACUCAUAGUGAAUGCUAAAUCAAAAGGACUCUGGGGUAAAUAACCCAAACAAACCUCAAAUGGAGAUUUGAGUGUGGAACCAUGAAUUGCUCGGUUAAAAGCAAAUUGUAAGUAAGGGAGACUUUCAUCCCAAGUCUUUGGAUGCUACCAAUACGAAAAUACUCAUACUUUCCAUGUCGAGUCUCACGAACCUUUUGUUCCAAUAUACAAUCCUGCUGCAAAGGAUCUUCUUGUUCAAUCUAGUAUCCAUCAUUUCCCAUAAAGACCUCCAGAAAUGGCCUAAGAAUCGACUGUCUCUAUCAGAAAUAAUCGAUGUAUGUAAGCCAAAAUACUUCCAAACAUGUUGGAAAAAUAACUUAGCAGCUCCUUCUCCAGUAACGGUCUUCUUGCAUGGAAUGAGAAUCACCAUCUUACUGAAACGAUCUACCACCACAAACAAGUAGUCAUUUCCAGACUUGGUUUUAGGCAAUCCACCUAAGAAAUCCAUCGAGAUACUCUCCUAAGGUCGGCUAGGUACUGGCAAUGGAAGAUACAGUCCUAACUUUCUAUUGGAAGGCUUUGAUAUGUUGCAUAGAACACAACCUCGAAUGUAUCGUGAAACAUCGAGAUGCAUCUUUGGCCAAUACACAUAGCGACGAAGAUUCAAUAAAGUCUUCUCAACUCCAAAAUGUCCUGCUACUUUGGAAGUAUGAGCCUCACGAAUCCACUGCAAUCUGUCGCCAUCUUCUGGAAUGCACAAUUGUGUUCCCUUGUACAUUAGUCCAUCCUUCAAUUGGAACUCACUAGUCUUUCCUUGUUGUAGCUUGGCAUAUGUUGAGUUGAAAUCAGUAUCUGUGUCAUACCCUUUGGCAUAUUCAGAAGGAACAAUGGGUUGGAUUUGCAUAGCCACCAGCAAUGCGGAACUAACUGGUGUAGGUGGUCUAGAUAACAUAUCUGCCAACUUAUUAGUUGUUCCUUUCUUGUACUUUAUCACAAUAUUGAAUUGUUGUAGGUAAGACAUCCAUUUCAUAUGGCGAGCAUGCUGCAACUUAGACUGUGUAGUUAAAAAUUGAAGAGGUUUAUGAUCUGAGUGAACUACAACUUCUUUUCCCAACAAGUAAGCUCUCCAAUGCUUCACUGCUUGAUGCAUUGCAUACAGCUCCUUGUCAUAAGUUGGAUAAUUCAAUACCGGUCCACUAAACAUCUCAGAAUGGUAUGCAACUGGUUUCCCAUCCUGAAAUAAUACGGCUCCCAUUGCAUAGUUUGAUGCAUCUGCUUCUACGUCAAAUGGUUUCUGCAGAUUCGGUAAUGCUAGUACUGGGGCCUCUGUAAUCUUUCGUUUCAACAAUUGGAAAGAUUCUUCAUGGUUUCUCGACCAUUCAAACUUUUGAUUGGCUUUUGUAAGUGAAUGUAAGGGUGCUGCAAUUUGUGAAAAGUGCCGAAUAAACUUUCGCAAAUAUUGACAUGCACCUAUAAAGCUCCGAACUUCAGUCACUGAACGGGGUGUAGGCCAUUGAGAAAUCACAUGUACUUUCUCUAGGUCCAUUUUCAGUUCUCUUGCACCAACAAUGAAUCCCGGGUAUACGAGGUGUUGUUUCCCAAAUUCACACUUUUUACCAUUUAAUUGUAACUGAUUUGUUCGUAGAACCUCCAAAACUUGAGCAAUAUGAUGAAGAUGGUCCUCCCAUGUGACACUAAAAAUGAGAAUGUCAUCUAAGUAUACAAUGAUGAAGUCGUCAAUGAAAGGGCGGAGUACCUCAUUCAUCAAUCGCAUGAAGGUAGCUGGAGCAUUACAUAACCCGAAUGGCAUGACUAACCACUCGAAGAGUCCCUGCUUUGUUUUGAAUGCAGUCUUCCAAGUAUCUUCUUCAUGUAUGCGGACUUGGUGAUAGCCAGAUUUGAGAUCAAGCUUAGUGAAGUAGUGUGCACCAUGUAGUUGAUCUAGUAGGUCAUCAAUCCUCGGCAAUGGAUACCGAUUCUUAAUGGUUAUUUUGUUGAGUGCCCUAUAAUCAACACACAUACUCCAGCCUCCGUCUUUCUUAGGCACAAGUAACACUGGCGAACCACAUGGGGAGCAGCUAGGUUUGAUGAUUCCUUGUUCAAGAAGUCCCUGAAUUUGCUUUUUGAUCUCGUCAGAUUCCAUCAAAGAAGUACGAUACAGACCUAAGUUUGGUAGAGGUGAAUCUCCUACCAACUGGAUCUCAUGCUCUAUAGCUCUCUGUGGUGGCAAACCUUGCACAUCAUGAAAUAAGUCCUUGAACUUCUCCUGCAAUUUUCCUAUGUCUGAGCAUUGCGUAGGAGAUAAAGACAAUGUAGACAAUGUCACAGCUCCAGAACUUUGAUCUUGUGGUCGAAUCAUCAACAAAACAAAUCGCCCACAUGAAUUGACUAACCUCUUGGCUUGGUUAGCUGUCAGCAAAUUAUCUAUAAGCAAAUUAUUUGUAGCUUGAGGCUUGCAAGCGUUGAUGUGGAACUCCUUCCCAUCCUUCACAAGUCGAUACUUGCGAAGCCUCCGAUAGUGGAUGGCAUCUCGGUCCCAUAAAUAUGGACUGCCUAAUAUGACUUGGCAAACAUCCAAAGGAACCACCUCACAUGUCACCUCAUCGAUAUAUCGAUUGGUGAUAGCAAAUUUGAAGGUACAUUGCUUCGUGAUCUGUAAGUCAACAUCUUUCUGAAUCCAUCCUAGCGGGUACGGCUUAGGAUGUGGUGUGGUUUCUAAACCCACUUUUCUUACUAAAGCCUCUGAAAUCAGGUUUUUCUGACUUCCAGGGUCAAUGAUAGCUUGUACAACACUUUGCUUCACCUGAAUAUUCACAUGAAACAACUCUUCACGGUUGUAUGUGUCUUCAAUAUCUGCUGGUCUUGUCAUAAGGGUAAGUGUAACAUCAGGUUGCUUCAAUUCUGGAAGCUCUUCUGCUUGUUGUGUAGUUAAGGUGGCUUUUCUGUCAUUUCUCCCCUGAUUGUUUUUCUCGCGCUUUGGCCGUAACUCAGGAUGGAGUAUCCAGCACUUGUCUUUGGCAUGUCUACUGGUUUGACAGUGAUCACAGUAUACCUUCUGUGUCUGACCUUCCUUGCUCUGCUUCCCCUUUUUCUGCCAGUCAGUUUUGUUGACAGGUUUUGAUCUGUCAUCCUUCUUGUCAGUUCUUUUAUUUUUCGCCUCAAUGGCGAUGGCCUUCACAGUAGCUUCUUCAAUGGUGUCUACGGUGAACAAUUUUAGUUCUUUCCGUAUGUAGUCGGCAAGACCUCCGGUAUACUUCAUGAAAACGUCGUAGUCAUCGACGUCAAUGUCCAGAACCAUAGCUUGGUUGUGGAACUCUGUUGUAUACUCUUGUACAUGUUGCCCAAAUCUUUGUCUGAAGUGUUGCCAUUUAUACCAUCUUUCAUCUUCAUAGCCAACUGGAUAAAAUUGUUUUCUCAAAAGCUUCUUGAAGUUCUUCCAAGUCAAUUCUGAGACAUCAUACCGUCUCUGAUAGGACUUCCACCAUGUAAGGGCAUGGCUUGAAAGUUUCAAACUCGCAAAUUUUAUUUUUUGCACAUUAGAAUACUUAUAAACUGUGAAAUAAGUUUCUAAUGUGUCUACCCAGUUAUCUAGCUUUUCAGGAUCAACAUCUCCUUUAUAUAUAGGGAUGUCAACCUUAAAAUCAAUCUUUAAGGUAUCAAUAGAAUUUUUAUUGUCACCUGAUUCAGCUUCCUUUUUCGUUGGAUCAGCUUGUAUGUCGUCUUCAUCUUCGCUAUCCUCAACAACCUUUUUCUUGAGCUUUUGAUCAGGCUCGAAAUGAAGUUGAUGGACGUGAAGAUUUUCCAGUUUUCAAACUCUCCACGAGUUUAAGGAUUGAUGCAGACAAGUUUUCAACUUGUUGCUCAAGUUUAGUGAUGCGAUCGCCAUCAUUAGAUGUAUCCUGUUUGUUUUCUCCAGUCAUAUUGCCUCUCUUGGACCUUGGCUUUCGGUGUACGAGCAAAGGACCCAAAAGUUCUUCUCCAGAAGCUUUGCGUUGGUCGCGAGUUGAGACCAUAAACCACCGUCACCCACUCGGAUCUGGUGCUCUGAUACCACUUGAUCCAAAACUUCUAGUCGAUAGAACUAUGAAUUCCUAGUUUAUAGGAAUAAGGGAACGAAAGGAAUUUUAAGACAAUUAGAGAAACAAAAGGAAGAAGCUAAGGAACUGCUUUGAGUUCUGCCUUUUUGAAUUGCUUGCCCUAUUUCAAUGAAUAACUUACAUAUUUAUACAAGGUUCGGUUGCUAAAAUUAACUAAACUAAAAUAGUAAAUUAUUUUAAGCCAUAAAGAAUGAAUGGCCUAAAAUCUUACUUAAUUUGAACCAUUAACUUUUUAUGGUUUAUAACAAUUCGUUAUAAACCAUUAGUUUUUAUGGUUUUAAAUAACUUAAUAAUAUAAUAUAAUAUAAUAAAUUAUAAUUAUAUUAUAUUAUAUUAUGUUUAUUUUUGUUGGUAGAUCCUCCUGGAUCACAAAGAAGUUAAACAAAUAGCAAGAAUUAAAAUAGUGAUUAAACGUUCAUAUGAAAGAAACUAAGAAUUCAUUAAAUAACAUUAAAAAUCAUAACUAUCCAUGCUCGGGUGUUAUCAUCGCCUUAGAGAAUAAUUUAGUUACUCAUGUUCAAAGAAAACAUAAUUGAAACACUAGAAAACAUAAAAUAAAACUUAUGGAUUAUGACGAUGAUCGAGAACUUGAUGACAACAGCAGCUUUUUGACUCUCCUUCAACUCUAGCAUAAGAGAACCCUAUUUUCUGGUCUUCUUUAAAUAAGGAACAAAUUCUCUUUCGACUUGUUAACUAUGCUUUCCUAGUUUGGCUUCAAUUGUCUUUUGAUGAGUUGGCAUACAAAAUCCUACUAGAUAUAGGAUCAGACUUUAGAAAAUAACUCCACAUCCUUGUAGACACUUUCCAAAUGCAAUUGACAUAAAUUGGACUUCAAAACGAUUAUUUUGCAAAACCCGCAGAACACAUUCUGCCCGAACUGUCUGCACUAAAACGACCACAACUCUCUCCACACACGUCCAAAUCACAAACCGAAAAAUUCUACAUAAAGCUAACAUCUAUAUCUUUCCAAAGAUAUAAGGCUCAACAUUUGGUUCUCUCUGAGGAAGUACAAUAUAUUCUGUAAAUUGUCCGCUCUGCACAGCACAUUAUGCUCCUAAGAUUGCACAUCAUAUUUCAAUCCGAAAAUUGCUCCUUUUGCUUGCUUUUUCAUUUUUACUCUUCAAACUUAGUAAAUGGACUGAACUCUACAAAACUAAAUAAAAAUGGACUAAACUCACUCAAGAACAUAGCAAGAAUAUGAGAGAAAGAUAAUAAAAUUGUACGAAAUAAUUGUUAUAUCAAGCUCCCAACCGCACAGACCACAUCAAGAACCUUGCCGAAGCCUGCAACCUGCUCAGACAGUACCGCAUGAAGCUGAACCCAAGUAAAUGCAAGUUCGGUGUAUCACUCGACCGAUUCUUAGGAUACUUGGUCACUCAACAAGGUAUCGAGGCAUACCCACGCUAAAUCAUGGCCAUUCUCGAGAUGAAGUCACCUUAAACAAUGAAGGAAAUACAAAGUCUAAUACCAGAGCAGCUGCCCUCAACCGAUUCCUCUCGAAAUCUACUGACAAUUGCAGACCAUUCUUCAAAGCUUUGAAGAAAUGGCAAAAAGACAAAAUGGGAUGAGGAGUGCGAAGUAGCUUUCCAAAAUCUGAAGACUUACCUCACUUCGCCUCCCCUGCUCUCAAAACCAGUUCCUGGUGAAGACUUUGUCGUGUACCUGGCAGUGUCCAACUCGGUCGUCAGCUUAGCUCUGAUCCAGGAAGAACUAGGGGCCCAACAUCCGGUAUUUUACACGUCAAAAGCUCUCCUUGCUGUAGAGACUCACUAACCGAAGUUAGAGAAGCUGAUUUUGGCUCUUGUAGUUUUCGUGAGAAAACUACGACCCUACUGCCAAGCUCACUAGAUCAUCGUCAUGACAAACUUUCCUUUGAGAUCAAUUCCCACAACCCAGAUGCUUCUCAGCGACUCAUAGAGUGGGCUAUAUAAUUAAGCCAAUAUGACCUCCUCUACCGGCUGAAGACUACAAUAAAAGCUCAAGCUUUAGCAGACUUUGUUGCAUAAUUCACAUCAUUGGUCGAAGAAGAGAAGCUGCUCAAAGUACACAAGGAAAGUUCGAAGGCAGACAAGGCCUCAUCCACCGAACCUAACCUACCCAGAGACAUGUGGCAAUUGCGCAUAGACAGAGCGUCGAACCAAAAGGGAGCUGGAGCAAACGUUAUCAUAAUCAUCCCAGAUGGAACCCUGUUUGAGCAAGUUAUCACGCUUGGCUUCUCGGUCUCAAACAACAAGGCAGAGUACGAGGUAUUGCUCGAUGGCUUGCGUUUGGCAAAGGAGCUAUCAAUCAAGAAGCUGUCCAUCUACUCAGAUUCCCAACUGAUCACAAAUCAAGCCUCAAGAGAAUACAUGGCCAAGCACCAGAGGAUGAUCCUAUACCUUGACAAAGUCCAAGAGCUUUGAAGGCAUUUCCUACCUUCAUCAUCUAACAGGUACCCCGGGCAAAGAACGUGCAUGCAGACGCGUUAGCAAGCCUGUGAUCAACGAUGGAUACCCAAUUUAGACGUUCCAUCCCAGUCGAGUACCUUGACCGACCAAGCAUUGAAGAGACAGAGCAAUUAAACUUGAUGCAGAUUAAUGAGGAUCCUUGCUGGCAAGUAGAGGUGCCAAAUGGGUCGGGCUGGCCAUUUAAACUUGUGCCUUUAAUGUAUUUGUGUUGGGCUAGGCUGAUCCAUUUAAUUUAUCAGGAUGUACCGUGCUAGCCCAUUUAGUAAAACCAUUAAUUCCAGCCUGGCCUAAAGCCCAAGUCCAUAUUGAAACAAGCCGGGCUGGACUCGGAUCCUGCCCGUGCUCGUGCUCGGGCCAUACUCGGGUCCAAGAGUUGAGAAAGAAAUCAAAAAUUGUUCACGUAAGUUAGAGUGCACCAAUAAGAUUAGCUCUGAAGGCAUAGAUGAAAAAAUAAUGUGAAGCUUAAUGCGGCUAUUAAACGAUCAAGAAAACUAACACUUUGAUUGCACCGGCAAUGGUCAUUAUUUUUUAAAAAUCUCUCAUCAGCAAGGAGUCAGAAAACAUUGCAAGGUUGGUCUAAGAAGGCAAUGUCCAGGACGUCUUGAGGAAGUUGUGGCAAAAGGACCACACUCUAUUAGAUAAGCUAGUGAAGUUAACAGUCACCAAAGUUUCACACUUAGCCAACUUGGAACCAUAUAAAAGAAAUGGAACACGAUCAGGACAAUUUGGUGUUGGUAUUUGGAAAAGGUUGAGAUUCCCUAUGUUGCAGACUCACAAGAGCUGUCAACACCCUCACCAGAAACAUAGUAAGCUUUCAAUUUUUACCGUAUAAUAAGAACCCAGGUGACAACUGUGAGGGCUUUUUCGUUCCGGUGGCUACUAAUGGGGCUGGGCUGCUGUAAAGAGCCAAAUGUGUGAAAUUGCCUCUAGGUCUGAGUUCCAGGAUCAGACCCCAAGAGUGCUUCGAAAUGGUAGGUGAGCCUUAAGAAACACAUUGGUCUCCUUCACCAAUGAAACCAACAGUUGCUUACAGAUAAAUUCUUGGCUUGGCUUGAGAAGCUUGUGGCAUGAAAGCUAAGCAUUCAUGAGUUUAGCAUGAGAGAGAGAGAGAGACCAGAUUUUCUACUAGAAACAGAGGUUUAAAGCAAAGGAUUUCGUGAGAAUUUGCUGAGGAGAGAGAGACAGAGACAGAGAGACAGAGAUUAGGGUGGAAGAAUGAGUGCGUUGGGUAAUUUUUCGGCAACUUGACGAAGGGUUCGUCAGGCUCUAGAAUGGCUUGCCCAAGGAGAAGAUGGGAGGAGAUGGAGGAAUAAGGCUCAAAAUUAAAGGGUUUCAGGAAUGAGAGAUGAUGCUUGCUCUCUCUGGAUGUCUGUUUUGAUGAUGGGUAAGAGAUGCCUCCUUUUAUAACCUUUGGAAGCUCCUUCUUCCCAAGAAACCCUAGAUGGUUUCUCCCCAAUCUGCCAAGUCUUCUCUUCCAUUUCCCUUUUCUUCCUUCAAUUCACCCUCAUUUUGUGAAAUCCUCCUCAAUCCAAAUACACAAAGACAAGAUUUUUGAGAGCUCUAAAGCCUUCCCGCAGCUGUUCCAAUGGCCAUCUCCCAUCUUUGGCUAUCACCUCUCCUUAUUUCCUCCCCUAUUUCAUGUCAAGAACUGGUAGGAGAAAGAAAUGGGUAAGGCCGCUGGUUUGAAGGAUGCUUCUUCUCCUGGCAACUUGUGCGUGCUAAUGACCUUUGGUUUUUUGAAUGGCCUGCCUUUGUUCACGUGCUGGAGCCUCCCAACAGCCUACAUAUGUGACUGGCCCUUGGCUUUUGUCGUGGUUUUGUAUCUAGCCAUGUGCCAGAGACUUUUAGAUAUUUUAUAAGUCACUUGGGCCAUUCUUUAAGGUAAUGGGCUAGUUCACUAAGGGGACGGGUCAAUGGACUAUUUUUACUAAGGUGAUGGGCCAAUUUUCUAGGGUAAUAGGCUACCUUUUUCUCUCUUUCAUGUUUACCCGCAUAUUUAGGCUCAAGAAAUGGGCUUGAAUUUUGAGGCUCCCAAGCAGCCCAAAAUUUCCACUUCUUAGCCCAUCAAUGGGCUUCGUGAAUGCUCGUAACCAUCCAUACCACAACCUGCUCAGCAAGCCCCAGGCAUUCGAGUGGCUUAGGCCCACUUAAGCAUGUAGCUUGGUGUGUUGCUCAUUUGCUUGGCGUGGCACGUGUGCAAGUGCAUAUAAUGAACUCUUGCGUACCCAAGUUGUGUUUCUUCCCAAGUUAGGUGUUGUACUAGGCUAAAAAUAUAUUUGAGCCUACCCUUGGAUUUUUUGGGCCACAACAACAACAAAAUAUGAACACUACCAAAAUGCCUACUCAAAAACUGAAGAAAGAAAAUUUAUCAAGCAUUAUUAAUAAACAGAAUUUUAUUGAUGUAUACAAGCCAAGCACAACUGUUUGAAUUUUCAUUUAAAGAGAGAAAAAAUGGCAGUCUGGAUAUAACAAGAACUGGAAUCAUACCACAUAUGGCUUACAUAUAUCCUAGGAUCAGAUCAGGGCACAAGUCUGCGAACAUGAUCAGCUGGUUUAUAUGAAAUGACUCUGAACGUACUUGGACAUGGAUUUUUCAUUAUUUCUUAAAAACCUUACAUUUUGGACAACACGGCCUAGCCUAAAGAAACAAUUUUUGGGUAGUAGGGAGGAAAGAAACAUGCACUUGCAAAAAGAACUGUUAAGAAAGGAGAAGGCAAUCAAAACACUAGAUCAGAAAAGCACAAAAACUAAUAUAUCAUGCAAUCGUUGAUUUAUAUGAUUUUCUAGUAUGGAAAUAUAUCCAAUUCUGAGGAAGAGCAAAACCUCAAGUUCAAAGUUUAGCCUAUAUAAUUUCUUACUUAUAUAAGACACAACUUGUAAACAGGAGAAGAAAAGGAAAGGAGUACAAAAAGACAAGUUCCCACCCUAAAGCCAACCACAAAUAGGCAAAAUAUAACUACAUUUGACACCUUAGUUCUAUACUUUCAUAAAUAUACCAUUUUGUAGGAGCCUCGGAGGCUAGGGUUUCGUAAAGAAUAAACUCUUAUUUGGAAGGAGUUUAUUCUUUCCCCAAAUUGUAGAGAUUGAGUUCAUUAGGGAUUUGAUUGAGAUCAAAUCUCUUAAUUUGAUGAUGAUAAUAUCUCAAAUAGGAUCAUUAUAAAUUGGUGGUAUUAUCUUAUUAAAUAAAGAUAAUAUCUCAUAUUUAAGAUAUUAUCCCUAAUUUUAGAAUUAAUUAAUUGGCCAAAUAAAUGGACUCAAUUAAUUAACCUAAGGGAUAUUCUUCUUACCCACUUGGCGUCUUGUGAUCGGAGACGAAAAUAUUUGCUCCCACAAAUGGCCCCCAGUUUCCGCAUGGCGCUUGUGUGGCAUGUAGGAGAUGAAAAUUUUUCGGGCUCUCCAACUGUGUCUGGGCUUUUUUCAGUGAGUUAGACUCCUUUUGCAGAUUGGGUUCCCAAUUGGAGUGGGCUUUUGACUUUUCUUGGAGUUGGGUUCCCAGUAGGAAUGGGCUCGCGAUUCCUUCUUGACCUAGGAUGCCCAACCUGUAUAAAUGCGGGGCUUCUCUUCACUCUUCUUCACAUCGCAAACUUAACUUCUCUACUUUCUUUGCUUGAGAGAGAUCUUAGAGGAAGAAGGGAUCCCGAGACGAAUAUUCUCUAGGGAAGAAAAUCACUCCCACAUGUAUCUUUUCUUGUAGUGAGUUUUGGGAGAAUUCGUGUCCAUUGAUCCAUUUCUUGGUUUAAUUUAAUCGAAGAUUGUCGCAGGUAGAUUAAUCAAAUUGGCAAUGUUGUAUUACCCAUGUACAUGAGAGGGAAAUUUUUCUGCUGAUACUGUGGCUAAAUUAGUACUUGGAAGAUAUAUAUGUUGAUUUUCAACUAUAGAUUGAGCUUCUAGGAGUGUUCUCUCAAUUUUGCGGGAUGAUGAGGCUGGAAGCUCUCCAGGUAGAAUGAUAGUAAACUAUACAAAAUAAAAAUGAAAAAGAUUUAACUACUGAUCAUCAAAACAACAGUCAAAUAUAGUAUAUAUCAUUAGAACGAAAGACUGAUGAUCUUAUUAUGUUCAAAAAAAUUCCAAGGUUGGUUAAUGACCUAAAUGGUCCUCCACCUAUUGCUCUAAUAUCAUUUUGGUCCACCAACUAAAAUUUUCAUUUCAAACGUCCUUAAAUUUUUUAUUUUGUACCAAAAUGGUCCAUCCUUCAAAGUCCGUGUAUUAUUUCGUGAAAUCAAGGGAUAAAACCAUAUUUUUAGGUGAGUAUCCUCCUGUAAAAUGACCAAGCCAAUGUAGGAAUGCAUUCCUUCCCAAAAAUCCUUUAUGCUCCACCGCCUAGACGAUGACGUUCCAGUCGACUUGCCUUUUGACCAAUUAAAAAAAAAAACUCUAAGCGGCCAACGCUUGCUCCUAACCCCACUGCCUGUACACUCCUCACAUACAUAUUCCUUCAAAUUCACAGCUUGGCGACCGCGCAUUCCAGGGCAGGUGAGGUGAAAGUUGUGCUCGCAGCCAUCGUAUGGUCGUGAACCUCACGCUUGCCGUAGAAGGAGCAAUCGAAGCCGCGAGCCAAGUCGGGAACACAGAAACAAAGAGACCGGUUUUGCUUGGAUCCGACGGCUAGGGGAAAUUGCUUGGAUAAGGGCAUUGUAGGAAUUAGAGAGGGCUGGAGGUAGUGGCGGACCCCAUAGCAGCUAUGGAAAUGGGCUUGAAGGUCCUUGUUUGUGGGUGAUGCAACUUUGAGUUCCCACCAGCUACUCGACGGAAGUCCAGAGGAAGAGAAGGGUUUUUGUUGGGAUCUAAUGGACCAAAAUCUUUGGAAUUCAGCCUCUUUGUGAGGCCAUCAAGUCAUUGAGGAUCUGUGCUAGGUAAGGAAAGAGGAGGGGUUGCAUUUUGGGGAUAGUCAAGGAAGACUAGAUUUGGGUGGGGUGGGUUGUUUUUCUUUUUCUUUUUAGCUUUUUGUUAUUUUAUUUUUGUAUUUAUUUGAUUUUUAAAUUAAUUUAAAUAAUUGAGAAUUUUUUAUAUUAAUUUUUAAGUCAAUCUCAACAUUUUAAAAUAAAAAUAAAAAUAAAAAAAGAAGAAGAAGAAGAAGAAGCCAUGUGGCUGAUGAGUGGACUACAGUUUGUGGUGAGAUUCAAAAUUUUCAAUUUUUUAAGUUUUAUAAUUGGUUUCUAAUUUUUAAUUAUUUAGGCAAUAUUUUAAUUUAUAUGGGCAAUUUUACCCCUCAAUUUAACGGUAAUAUUAACAGUUUUUAAUGGUAAGACCGUUUUGGUACCAAAUAAAAAGUAGAAAUACCAUUAAAAUGAAAUUUUUAAUUGAUGAACCAAAAUCAUAGACCUUGUCAUGUGAUACGUGUUUCUUGCAGUUUGGCAAUCAAAAAAUCGUGCUGUCAUCCGAUAAUAUCUCAGAAAGUGAUAGAAAAUCUUUAUAAUUGCAAUUCUAUAUUGCAGGUCAAUUUUGUGUAUUGUCUUAUUAUCUAAAUAAACCAAAAAAAAAAAACAAACCCAAAAAAAAAAAAAAAAGAGUAGGAAUCCCCGUCGACAGAAAUGGAAAAUGAUUUCACCCCUUUCCUUUUAUUAUCGUUUGCAGUUAAUAAAAUAAAGUAUAAAAUAUUAAGCCAAACACCAUCAGGAUAUGCCAAUAAAUUAAGAGAUAUUUAGUCAUAUACUUAUUUUUAGUACUAAAAUUAUAAAUAAAUCCUACACCAUUUAAUUUCUAUAAACAAACCCAAAAAAUAAUAGAUGACCCUAUUGAAUUUAAUUUUAAUUAUUAAAUUACUUUGAUGCCUCAUUGAGUGUUUUGGAUUUUUUAUGAGGUUUUUGGGUUGGGUUUGUUUUAAUAAAUUAAUGACGGUUUUGUAAUUUAAAAGAAGUUAAAAGCAUUUUUGUUAUGUUGGUUCGGGUCCUUAAUUUUCUAAAUAAAUAUAUAAAAAAAGGAUAGCAGGUUAAUUGAAACCUAGGUACAAGUUCAGGGUGCAAAUCACCAGUUAACCCAUUACGAAAAGGGAUUGACAGACCCAAACCCAAUACAAGAUUUAUGUUAAUUAUUCAUGUAAGAUUAUAUACUUAUUUGGCUUAACUAUGAUUUGCCCCAUGAACUUGUACCUAAGUUUCGUUUUACCCUCUAUCCUUUUUUUUAGAAAAUUAAGGACUCGAACUAAACAAAAAUUUCACCAAUUUGCCCCCCGACGUCAAAAUAUGCCACUUCCCAUCCAUUCUACUGUCAAGUUGGUGUUUUGGUGGAGAUACGAAAUGACAAAAGUAACCUCCAACUUGACGGUAGGAUGGAUAUGGGGUAAAUUAAAAUCUGGGUACAAGUUCAUAGGGCAAAUCACCAUUUAAACCUACUUGUUUUUAAGAUUGUUCGUAACUAUUUUGGGGCAGAAGUUGUUAAGUUUCAAUUACACGCGUUGAUUGUUGAUUUUGCACAGGUUAUGAGUUAGUUUUGAGGUAUAAGUACUUGGUUUUAAACUAUACAUAUCCAGGAUUAUAAUUUCGUUGAAGUUUGAUACCAAAGUUUGGGUAAGCAUGUGCAUGACUUACUUUGGACUGCCUUAUCCUAUAAAUUAGAGCACCGCUUCUGUCAAAUUUUAUAUGGUUUCAAACUUUAUUUAGGGUGUUUAAUUCUGAGUUCAAAGUGUAAUACACAGUAGCUGAAAUUGCGUUAGUUUCUCUAGUGGUGCAGGAGCAACAAUAGUUUCCUAAAAGCUCAUCAUGUCAAGACAUAAGUUGGUGGUUCAAUUGAUGAAUGUCAAGGUAAACUUAAUUUAUACACACAACUACCUACUUGAUCAUAAUACUAGAAACAUUGGAGUUUAUGGUUCAGUUGCUGACAGGAUAUUUGGAAGCAACAACAAAAACAUGGCCAGAUAAUUGGACAACUAGCCCAUAGUACCCUUGCUGCACAGUUUGAGCAUAGGUUAGAUGUCAUUUGAUGUGUUAGAGAUUGAUUUUUGUUAUUAUAUUCAUGAGUGAAUGGGUUGGAGAGAUUGUGAACAAGCAAAUUUAGGUUUAGCAGCAUUUUUAUGUGUUUCAUUUAUACUUUAAAGAGUUUUUAUUUGGGAUUGAUUAUGACAGUCUUGAUCUCUUAGACUACAGGGGUUCAAGAGAUUUGUGGUCAAUCACCGUUGGAUAUAAAUUCAAUGGUUCACUCACUCUUGCACUUCUUUUAAUAAACUUUUUUGAACUAUUGGAUUAAUAUCCAACGGUGGGUGACCAUAAUCUCUUGGACUCCUGUGGUCCAAGAGAUCAUGACUGUUGAUUAUGAUUGGUAUAGGUUCUCUUUUUAAGUUUGGUUGCAAUACCAUUGUUUUUUUUUUCCAAGGUAAUAAAGGAUAUAAGUGUAUUAUUACUAUGAAACAAAAGUAGGGAGGAAAUUAAUUAGUUAUUUUUUAAAAAAUAAAGUCAAACACGGCAUGCAAAACACUCCUUAAAUGGGAUUAAAAACACUCUUUUAUGACGUGCAUUGAAUGCCGUAAUAACUCUUUUAUGGCAUGCAGGGAAAUGCCGUAAAUAGUUGUCCAAACUUUUACAAAAGCUCAAUCACGGCAUGCAUUAUUAACGCUUGCAGAAAGCGAAUACACGCUGCAAAAGAAAAAUACUUUUUACGGCAUGGCCUUUUAUGGCACGCAACAGCAUGUCAUGAAUUGUCAUUUACGACGUGCAUCACACGUCGUAAAUACCCAGUUUUCUUGUAGUGCCUACCGUCCUCAUCAAUCGGCAACUUCAAGGAGUUUAUCCUCAUUUUCACAAAGGAGUACACCUCUUACCGAAGGGUUAGAAAACAACCAGAUCACAUGUUUAACCUGUGUUUAACCUGCACAAGAAGCCUGAAGAGUCUCAACAAGACUAUAUUAAGAGAUUCAAGGCUGAGAAGGUCAGCAUCAUAGGAAGCAAUGAUCUAAUAGCAUCCUUAGCUUUCAAGAAGGGCUUGCCAGCAAAGCACGAGCUAUACCAUGAGCUGACCAUCAUUCCGAGACAAACCUUAGCAGAAGUCUUCAUGAUGGCAGAGACAAACCCUAGCAGAAGUCUUCAUGAUGGCAGAGACAAAUCCUAGCAGAAGUCUCAACCAGACCACACUCUGGGAUGACGAUCGUAUCGCCACUAAGAAAGUAAGCAAGCAAGCCGAUCAACCAACUAGGUAGGUGAGCCAAAAGAAUGACAAGUUCGACAACAAGAACAGGGACAAGUGCAGAUCGCAGCCCCAAGAAGGAGUCCUGACAGUAGAAACCUUCAUUAAGUUUUGUUUGUACCGUAUCUGACCCCUCCACUCUCAUCAUGACACGUGGAAAGAGCAUGAAGCUAGGUAACACUGCGGCCCACUGAUAGAUCAGUUAGGUACAUAUCAGCGUCCGCGACCGAUUCAUCACCCAGCAUAGCUGUCAACCCCCUAAUCGACAAGCGCUCUUGGAAGCUCCUCGGACAUACGAUCGGUGCCCCGUGCCGAUUAUGCGGGAAAACUCGAAACAACCCCCUCCUUUGAUAUUUUGCGGAGACUCGUAUCAACCUCAGAAGGUACUCCCACGAGUCCCAUAUCGAACCUAAGUACUAAGAGCAUACCAGGCAUUCUCUAUAAAUAGGGCCUUUUGCCCUAGAUACAGGGUAAGACUUUCAGCUUGAUUUUCAUGAUCUAGCAUUUGUUAAUAGCAAAGCUCUUUUUUAACUUACUUUAGCAUCGGAGGGUCUUCGGCUGGUACCACACCGGUACUCUAGACCUCAUCUGUUGUUUCUCUCCUUAGCCCAGGUCCAGCAUCGCAUCUCAAGGAAAAACGUGCUCAUACCGAGGUUUCAAUCGAUCCUUAGACCGUCCACAUCACCUGUAAGUUGCUUCUAUUUCUAUCUGUUCAGUUUUAGCGCAAAUAAGCUUACUAUCCCGAUUCACCAGAUUCUGGCACAAGUGAAUGAUAAGCUUUGGGUGAAGAGACCGCCGCUUUAGAAAGGAAACCUUACUAAAAAGGACACCAGUGAGCAUUCCACGUAGAGCAAAGUUAUUACACAAACAAUUACUUCGCCUAGAAAAAGUACCUCAAAAAGCUAGUCAAAAACGGCCACUGCACGAAAUUUAUUGCAAAAAAGGCCAUCAAGCAAAUCGACAACCGUGAUGCAGUUGUAAGGAACCUCCCCAAAAGAUCAUAUGGAUCAACACGAUCCUAGUCGACUCCCAAGAGUUCGAGUUGACCACUAGAGAGUGAAAGAGAAGGAUCAAGCAGGCGACCAUCGUCUCCCAAGUCAUAACUAGCGACCCUGCCAUUGAGGACACUUCUAUCAAUUGCUUUCAGAAAAAGGAUCCGAUAGGGCUUGAUCUACCACACAAUGACGUCCUCGUCAUCUACAUCCAUAUUGAACAAGCUAUGAUUGAACGAGUUCACUUGGAUGAGGGCAGUGCGGCCAACAUUCUGCAGCUGUCAGUUGUUCAGCAGAUGGGAUUGGAGCCCAAGAUCAAUAAAUUUGCCAGAUCACUCAUGGGCUUCAACGAGGUGACAUCAAUCAUUAUAGGUAUGAUAGACCUUGACAUCCACUCAUCACCGGUAGUAUGCUCGCAAAAUUUCAUGGUCAUUGAAGAGAUUUCCCCUGCAAUGGAAUCCUGGGCCGACCAUAGAUCAGCAAGAUUGAAACUGUCACAUACUCUUCACACCAGAAGAUCUGCCACCCCAUCCCCGGGGACGAAAUCAUGCAAAUCAAUAGUGGUCAAGACUACUGACGAGGCAAGUCAUGCUCCCAACGGAUAAGCAAACCUAAAAAGAAAAGGAUUUGCUACCUCCCAAUAGCAACUAAGAAGCCAUGAUCAUGGCAAGGGAAUUUGCAAGGAAGGCUCCCCUGAAGAAGGUCGGAAGCCUGAGGAAGACAUUGAGUUAGUACCCACUGAUCCUAACCUGCUAGACAGAAAAGUGCGGAUCAACUCACACUUAAGCCUAGACAAUAAGAUGGAGCUGACCACCUUCAUCCAGCACAACAAGGAUAUGUUCGCAUGGUCGUUAUAUGCCACGCCUGGCAUCGACCCUCAAAUCAUAUGUCACCAGCUCCAUGUCAACCCAACCAUCAAGCCAGUGGCAUAGAAAAGGUCUCCUACUCAUAAUGGCUAGCCAAUGCUGCUCUGGUGGCCAAGCAAGAAAAGGGCAAUUAGAGAGUUUGCAUCAAUUACACCGACCUCAACAAAACAUGCCCCAAGGAAAACUUCCUAUUUUCGAGAAUUGACCAACUCAUGGAUUCAACUUCCGACAAUCAACUGCUCAGCUUCAUGGACCUUACUCCUGCUAUAAUCAAAUCCUAAUGCACGAGGAUGACAAGGCAAAAACUUCUUUCAUCAUCAAGAGAGGGACCUACUGCUACAAGGUCAUGCCUUUUGGGCUGAAGAACGUCGAGGCAACCUAGUCACUCAACAAGGUAUCGAGGCACACCCACUCCAAACCAAGGUCAUUCCCAAGAUGAAGUCACCUACAAUAAUUAAGAAAAUACAAAGUCUGACGGAAAGAGCUGCGGCCCUUAACCGAUAAGAUAAAUAGGAAUCGCAAGGCCAUUCGACGAGGAGUGCGAAAUGGCUUUCCAAAAUCUGAAGACUUACCUCACUUUGCAUCUUUUGUUCUCAAAACCAGUUCUUGGUGAAGACUUGUUCGUGUACCUGGCUGUGUCCAGCUCGGUCGUCAAUUCAGCUCUGAUCUGAGAAGAACUGGUGGCCCAACAUCCGGUAUUUUACACAUCAAAAGAUAAGCUCAUUUUGGCCCUUGUAGUUUCCCGAGUAAGUUGCAACCCUACUACCAAGCUCACUAAAUCAUCUUCAUGACAAACUUUCCUUUGAGAUCAAUUCUCCACAGCCAAUAUGUUACUCAGCGACUCAUGAAGUAUGUUAUAUAACUAAGCUAAUAUGACUUCCUCUACCGGCCAAAGACUACAAUAAAAACUCAAGCUUUAGCAGACUUUGUCGCAGAAUUCACUUCAUCGACUGAAGAAAAGAAGCUGGUCAAAGUACUCAAGGAAAGUUUGAGAGUAGACAAGACUUCCUCCUUCGAACCUGACCUAUCCAGAGAGAUGUGGCAGUUGCGUGUAGAUAGAGCGUCGAACCAAAAGGGAGCUGGAGCAAGUGUCGUCAUAAUCACCUCGAAUGGAACCCUGUUGGAGAAGGUUAUCAUGUUUGGCUUCCCAACCUCGAAUAACGAGGUGGAGUAAGAGGCAUUGCUCGUUGGCUUGCGCUUGGCAAAAGAGCUAUCAAUCAAGAAGCUGGCCAUCUACUCAAAUUCCCAGCUGAUCACAAAUCAACCCUCAAGAGAAUACAUGGCGAAGCACCAGAGGAUAACCCUAUACAUUGACAAAGUUCAAGAGCUGUUGAAGGCAUUUCCUACCUUCACCAUUCAACAGAUGCCCUGAGCAAAGAACACGCAUGCAGACCCAUUAGCAAGCCUGGGAUCUAUGAUGGAUAUGCAGUUCAGAUAUUCCAUCCUAGUUGAGGACCUUGACCGACCAAGCAUUGAAGAAAUAGAGCAAUCAGACUUGAUGCAAAUUAAAGAUCCUAGCUGGCAAGUAGAGGUGUCAAACGGGCCAAGCCGGCCCAUUUAAACUCAUGCCUUUAAUGUAUUCGUAUUGGGCCAAGUCGAUCCAUUUAAUUUAUCGAGCCAUGCCAUGUUGGCCCAUUUAGUAAAACCAUUAAUUCUAGCACAGCCCAAAGCCUAAGUCCAUAUUGAAACAAGCCGGGCUGGACUCGGAUCGUCCCCUUGCUCGUGCUCGAGCCAUACUCAAGCCCAAGAGUUAAGAAAGAAAUCAGAAAUUGUUCAUGUAAGUUUGACUGCACGAAUAAGAUUAGCUCUGAAGGCAUAGCUGAAAAAUAUUGUGAAGCUUAAUGCGGCUAUUAAACAAUCAAGAAAAUUGACACUUUGACUGCACCGGCAAUGGUCAUUAUUUUUUAAAAAUCUCUCAGAAGCAAAGAGUCAACACAUUACAAGGUUGGUCUAAGAUGGCAGUGUCCCGGACGUCUUGAGGAAGUUGUGGCAAAAAGAAUACACUCCAUUAGAUAAGCCAGUGAAGUUAACAGUCACCAAAGUUUCGCACUUUGGCCAACUUGGAACCAUAUAAAAGAAAUGGAACACGAUCAGGACAAUUUGGUUUUGGGAUUUAGAAAAGCUUGAGAUUCCCUAUGUUGCAGACUCACAAGAGGGGUCAACGCCCUCAGCAAAAACAUAGUAAGCUCUCGAUUUUUACCUUAUAAUAAGAACCCAGGUGACAACAAAAGAUGAACACUACCAAAAUGCUUACUUAAAAACUGAAGAAAGAAAAUUUAUCAACCAUUAUUAAUAAACAGAAUUUUAUUGAUAUAUACAAGCCAAGCACAACUAUUUGAAUUUUCAUUUGAAGAGAGAAAAAAUGGCAGUCUGGAUAACAAGAAUUGAAUCAUACCACAUAGGCUUACAUAUGUCCUAGGAUCAUAUUAGAGCACAAGUCUGUGAACAUGAUCAGCUGGUUUAUAUGAAAUGACUCUGAACAUACUUGGAUAUGAAUUUUUCAUUAUUUCUUAAAAACCUCACAUUUUGGACAACACAGCCGAGCCUAAAGAAACAUUUUUUGGGUAGUAAGGAGGAAAGAAACAUGCACUUGCAAAAAGAAUUGUUAAGAAAAGAGAGGGCAAUCAAAACACUAGAUCAGAAAAGUAUUAAAACUAAUAUAUCAUGCAAUCGUUGAUUUAUGAUGGUUUUCUAGUAUGGAAAUAUAUCCAAUUCUGAGGAAGAGCAAAACCUCAAGUUCAAAGUUUAGCCUAUAUAAUUUAUUACUUAUAUAAGACACAACUUGUAAACAGGAGAAGAAAAGGAAAGGAGAACAAAAAGACGAGUUCCACCAUAAAGCCAACCAUAAAUAGGCAAAUUAUAACUACAUUUGACACCUUAGUUCUAUACUUCCAUAAGUAUACCAUUUUCUCAUGAACACAAUUACUGUUCAGAUCUAAAUCUACGGAUCACAUAUUUCUGCUAAAAUAAUCACCAGCCAAUCAAAAUUUGAGUCAAGCAUGUGCGGCAGUUCCCAGUCACUUCAUGCAGUAGAUGCUGGAUCAAGUAAUUGUUAAGUCACUUAAGUGGGUUUUGACUUUUGAGACAACAAAAAAGGGUUAAGUGGGCCAGGCUCGAGCCGUGCUUGAAGACCGUUCGAGUUCGGGCCGUGCUUGAAGCGGGCUCGGGUCACUAGCCGUGUCGGUCCAUUGGACCUUAUUUUUUGUCUAUGCCCAAACUUUUGUGCCAUGCCGAGCUCAACCUACUAAUAUCGUGCUCGUGCCAUAUCGUGCCUCAUUUAAACGAGCUGUACUCAUGCCGUGUUGACCCUGUCACAUCCCGGGAUCAACUCCGCCGUAGAUGGAUGCGGGUGUGCACAUAUAAGGCACAUUACCCCCUCUCCGUUGGUUGAUGUGGGAUCUUACAAUCCACCCCCCUUAAGGGCCCGACGUCCUCGUUGGCACACUCGCACCACACGGCAGAGUGGCUCUGAUACCAAAUUGUCACAUCCCGGGAUCGGCUCCACCGUAGCACGAUAUUGUCCACUUUGGGCCCCCCUCUCUGCCCUCACGGUUUUGUUUCUGGGAACUCACGAGCAACUUCUCAGUGGGUCACCCAUCCUGGGAUUGCUCUAGCCCCCAACUCGCUUAACUUCGAAGUUUCUACGACUCCGAAGCCAGUGAGCUCCCAAAAGGCCUCGUGCUAGAUGAAUGCGGGUGUGCACAUAUAAGGCACAUCACCCCCUCUCUGUUGGUUGAUGUGGGAUCUUACAGACCCAUCAUGUUUGGCACCUCUACUGGCAAGACCCCAUCAUCAACUACCUGGUGAACAAGAACCUACCAAAUGACAAGUUCGAGGCCAGAAAAAUCAAGCAGAAGAUGGCGAGAUACUACAUGAAUGACAACAUGCUUGUUCACGUAUCGUACUCUGGUCCUUACCUCACACGCAUCAAGUACCAGCAAACACUUGAAGUGCUCCACAAAAUACACUACGGCGAAUGCAAGAAUCACACUGGGGCAAAUUGCUUGCCCAUAAGGCUUUCAAUGCAGGCUACUUCUGGCCUAUUAUGCGCCAAGACUCCACGGAGUAUGUUCAAAUAUGUGAUCGAUGCCAACGCUAUAAACUGAUCUCCUAGCUACCAGUCGAGGUGUGCCAUCCUCAAAACACCCCAUGGCCAUUCAUGCAAUGAGUCAUUCACUUGGUGGGACCUAUGCCAAGAAGGACAUGAUGAUCAUUGUCACCGACUAUUUCACUAAGUUGAUCUAGGCCGAGGCUCUAUUCUCUACCAAGGAAGCUGAUAUUGAAAUAUUUAUCUGGAGGAACAUAAUUUGCCGAUUCGGCUGCCCACAAUCGAUAGUUACUGACAAUGGCAUACAAUUCAUUGGCAAGCAUAUUACUAUUUGUGAAAAUAAUCUCUCGAGAGAAUAUUCACAUAUAGAUCCUUCGCCCUUUGAAUUUAUUUCUCUCUCUUCCUCGAUUCCUGUAAAAAAGACCGGAGUAAAUAUACCACACCCGUUACUUAAGUUAAUUCGAUUGAAUCUAGGUGAAACAAUAGCUAAAAAAGGAUAUGGAGAUUUCUCUAGGGUGAGAACCAGGUGGCCGGAGCCGCGUGGAGAAAAUAUGGAAAGUGGAGUGGAGAGGCCAGUGGCAAUGUUGUUGCCGUCGGCUAAGGAGAGAGAUUUUGAGUGUUUUUCAGGGUUACGGAGCUAGGUUUAGAGUUAUUUCAAGUGUUGGAUGAAGCCAUGUAUUUAUAGGAGUCUCAAAGGCUAGGGUUUCAUAGAGAAUAAACUCUUAUUUGGAAGGAGUUUAUUCUUUCCCCAAAUUGUAGAGAUUGAGUCCAUUAGGGAUUUGAUUGAGAUCAAAUCUCUUAAUUUGAUGAUGAUAAUAUCUCUUAAUUAGGAUCAUAUCUAAAUUGGUGGUAUUAUUUUAUUAAAUAAAGAUAAUAUGUCAUAUUUAAGAUAUUAUCCCUAUUUUUAGUAUUAAUUAAUUGACCAAAUAAAUGGACUCAAUUAAUUAACCUAAAGGAUAUUCUUCUUAUCCACAUGGUUUUUUGUGAUUGGAGAUGAAAAUAUUUGCUCCCACAAAUGCCCCCCAACUUCUGCAUGGCUCUUGUGUGGCAUGUAGGAGAUGAAAUUAUUUUUCGGGCUCUCCAGUUGCGUCUGGGCUUUCUUCAGUGAGUUGGACUCCUUUUGCAGAUUGGACUCCCAACUGGAGUGGGUUUUUUACUUUUCUUGUAGUUGGGUUCACAGUAGAAAUGGGCUUGCGAUUCCUUCUUGACCUCGGAUACCCAACUAGUAUAAAUGCAGGGCUUCUCUUCACUAUUCUUCACAUCGCAAACUUAACUUCUCUACUUUCUUAGCUUGAGAGAGAUCUUAGAGGAAGAAGGGAUCCCGAGACGAAUAUUCUCUAAAAAGGAAAAUCACUCCCACAGGUAUUUUUCUUGUGGUGAGUUUUGGGAGAAUUCGCUUCCAUUCAUCCAUUUCUUGGUUGAAUUUAAUUGAAGAUUGCCGCAAGUAGAUUAAUCAAAUUGGCAAUGUUGUAUNNNNNNNNNNNNNNNNNNNNNNNNNNNNNNNNNNNNNNNNNNNNNNNNNNNNNNNNNNNNNNNNNNNNNNNNNNNNNNNNNNNNNNNNNNNNNNNNNNNNNNNNNNNNNNNNNNNNNNNNNNNNNNNNNNNNNNNNNNNNNNNNNNNNNNNNNNNNNNNNNNNNNNNNNNNNNNNNNNNNNNNNNNNNNNNNNNNNNNNNNNNNNNNNNNNNNNNNNNNNNNNNNNNNNNNNNNNNNNNNNNNNNNNNNNNNNNNNNNNNNNNNNNNNNNNNNNNNNNNNNNNNNNNNNNNNNNNNNNNNNNNNNNNNNNNNNNNNNNNNNNNNNNNNNNNNNNNAGGGAAAUUUUUCUGCUGAUACUAUGGCUAAAUUAGUACUUGGAAGGAUAAUGUGAUUUUCAACUAUAGAUUGAGCUUCUAGGAGUGUUCUCUCAAUUUUGCGGGAUGAUGAGGCUGGAAGCUCUCCAGGUAGAAUGAUCGUAAACUAUAAAUAAAUAAAAAAUGAAAAAGAUUUAAUUACUGAUCAUCAAAACAACAGUCAAAUAUAGUAUAUAUCAUCAGAACGAAAGACUGAUGAUCUUAUUAUGUUCAAAAAAAUUCCAAGGUUGAUGAAAGUAAAAUAUGAACCUGCUCGAAGAUGUUGGUCAUAGACUCACAGGUAACUAUAACAUUAUCAAGGAAAGCUAAUCAUAGACUUUGUCAUGUGAUACAUGUGUUUCUUGCAGUUUGGCAAUCAAAAAAUCGUGCUGUCAUUCGAUAGAAAAUCUUUAUAAUUGCAAUUCUAUAUUGCAGGUCAAUUUUGUGUAUUGUAAUUGAACUGAUCAGAUAGGCCACCACCACGCUGUUCUCUGACCUUGUAUUAAAAUUCUGCGCCCCAAUAAUUUAAUUUAAUAUCCGAACUACCACAUGUAUUGUUUUCAUUAGUACUGGGACCCUGGAUAGGACACCUCAUGCAUGACUACUGCCUGGGACUGGGACACCUUCUUAUGUAUUGUUCUGAUCAAUUAUUGACAAUUGUGUUUUAGUUGGAUCUACUCUAUUUAUCAAAUUCAAUUCAAAUGGAUUCACGCAGGCCCUACAAAUAAUAAUGUUUCACAAAUAAAUUGAAAUUCACUACAUAAAUUGAGUAAACUCCAAUAUAUUGAUUGAAAAAUAAGAUGAAUGAUUCAUUAUGCUUUAACGCAUUCCUUUUAUACAAGAGAACCCCUAAACUUAUUUGGAAAGCCAAUGAGAAACCCUAGACUUACCUGUAAAGCUAAUUAGAAAAUAAAAAGGAAAAUUCUAAAAAUUUUCCAAAAUAUUUCUAACAACUUUAAACUCUGAAAAGUCAAAGUAAACAAUAAAAUUUGGCUAAAAUAACUCAUAUGUCAUAGCAAAGCAGUGGGUUGUAUUUGUCACGCCAAGAAACAAUAGGUGAUGGGCCUAUAAGCUCGGGGCCUAUACUUGCACAAAUUGAGCUUUGCUGCUGCGACGACGUGUGCACCUGUCCAGUUGUUCCUUGAUUAACUCGGCCAUAUGUUCUACAUCAGUCCCUUCCACUUUGGUAGAACUCGACCCGAGUUAUCUUCAGGAUAGAGCAGAUCAUCUUCAUAGAAUGCAUACAGGUCAGCAACAUUGAAAGUGCUUGAAAUAUCCAUGGAUGAGGGCAAGUCCACAACAUACGCAUUGUCGUUGAUCUUUUUUAGAAUCUUGUAAUGGACCAUAUUUGUGGGGUUGUAACUUGCGAUAAGUACCCAUUAGAAACCUCUCCUUCAGAUAGACCAUGACAGAGUCGCCUUCAUUGAACACCUUGACUCGUCUAUGUUUGUCUGCGAUGGCUUUGUAUUUAGCAUUGAUUUUCUCCAACCUCUCCUUGACCUCAUUCUUCACGGCCUAGACAUUUUCUGCCAUAUGCUCAGUUGUGGUACUUACACCAUGGGCCUUGGGUAGCUUCACAAAAUCAAUCACAUGGUUAGGAACCAAAGUGUAAACCAAAGCGAAAGGUCAUUUUCCUGUGGCACUUUGAACAGCGAUGUUAUAAGCAAACUCCACUUGAGGCAGUGCAUUGUCCCACUAUUUGGGUUUGUCUCCACAUAUGCUACGGAUCAUGUUACCCAAAGUUCUUGAAAGGACCCGCCCCGAAUUUUUUAGAACCCGAGGCGAACCCUUUGGAAUUCCCGACAUCAUCCCGAUGCCAGGCCCACUUACUAAAGACCGAGACUUCCUGCCGAAAUUUCGGCAGAGUCUCCCCUAUAAAUUGGACAUUUUUCAAAAUUACAACCUGCAUAAAAACGCAUUUAAUAUUCACAACUGGCAGCAUGCACAAUAUAAUUUCAUGCAAAUUCACAUAAAUGGUCUUCGGCCUUCCAAUAAUUCUCAGCCAACUACCAAACAAUUCAAAUACAAAUUAUGACUAACAUUUAGUCUGCGGCUGCACCUAAUAACCUUAGGCUGCCUACGUACCCUCCUUGAGGGAUCAAGCCACACGUAGUUCUUCCUUAAAAUCCAAUUCCACACUUAGGUGAUACCUUAUUUCAUUUCUCUGUAUUUCAUAUAAUCUCCCCAUACGCCGGUACAACCAACGCCACGUAUGGGGCCUGUCAACAUGCCGGAUAACCUACGCCACGUGCGACCAUGCCAUACUAUCAUAAUAUCUCCCCAUACGCCGGUACAACCAACGUCACGUAUGGGGUCUGUCUCAACGCCGGAUAACCUACGCCACGCGAGACCUGCACAUCAUAUCACAUAUCUCCCCAUACGCCUGUACAACCAACACCACGUAUGGGGCAUGUCCCAACGCCGGAUAACCUACGCCACGUGGGACCUCAACAACAUAUCACAAAUCUCCCCAUACGCCGGUACAACCAACGCCACGUAUGGGGUCUAUCGACACGCCGGAUAACCUACGCCACGUGCGACCUCAACAAAAUAUCACAAUAUCUCCCCAUACGCCAGUACAACCAACGCCACGUAUGGGGCUUGUCUCAACGCCGGAUAACCUACGUCACGUGAGACCUGAACAUCAUAUUACAAAUCUCCCCAUACGCCGGUACAACCAACGCCACGUAUGAGGCCUGUCCCAACGCCGGAUAACCUACGCCACGUGGGACCUCACUUUCACUUGGUGGUACUUGUAGUGAAACCAAAAUCCGAGCAAGUAUCUAAGGNNNNNNNNNNNNNNNNNNNNNNNNNNNNNNNNNNNNNNNNNNNNNNNNNNNNNNNNNNNNNNNNNNNNNNNNNNNNNNNNNNNNNNNNNNNNNNNNNNNNNNNNNNNNNNNNNNNNNNNNNNNNNNNNNNNNNNNNNNNNNNNNNNNNNNNNNNNNNNNNNNNNNNNNNNNNNNNNNNNNNNNNNNNNNNNNNNNNNNNNNNNNNNNNNNNNNNNNNNNNNNNNNNNNNNNNNNNNNNNNNNNNNNNNNNNNNNNNNNNNNNNNNNNNNNNNNNNNNNNNNNNNNNNNNNNNNNNNNNNNNNNNNNNNNNNNNNNNNNNNNNNNNNNNNNNNNNNNNNNNNNNNNNNNNNNNNNNNNNNNNNNNNNNNNNNNNNNNNNNNNNNNNNNNNNNNNNNNNNNNNNNNNNNNNNNNNNNNNNNNNNNNNNNNNNNNNNNNNNNNNNNNNNNNNNNNNNNNNNNNNNNNNNNNNNNNNNNNNNNNNNNNNNNNNNNNNNNNNNNNNNNNNNNNNNNNNNNNNNNNNNNNNNNNNNNNNNNNNNNNNNNNNNNNNNNNNNNNNNNNNNNNNNNNNNNNNNNNNNNNNNNNNNNNNNNNNNNNNNNNNNNNNNNNNNNNNNNNNNNNNNNNNNNNNNNNNNNNNNNNNNNNNNNNNNNNNNNNNNNNNNNNNNNNNNNNNNNNNNNNNNNNNNNNNNNNNNNNNNNNNNNNNNNNNNNNNNNNNNNNNNNNNNNNNNNNNNNNNNNNNNNNNNNNNNNNNNNNNNNNNNNNNNNNNNNNNNNNNNNNNNNNNNNNNNNNNNNNNNNNNNNNNNNNNNNNNNNNNNNNNNNNNNNNNNNNNNNNNNNNNNNNNNNNNNNNNNNNNNNNNNNNNNNNNNNNNNNNNNNNNNNNNNNNNNNNNNNNNNNNNNNNNNNNNNNNNNNNNNNNNNNNNNNNNNNNNNNNNNNNNNNNNNNNNNNNNNNNNNNNNNNNNNNNNNNNNNNNNNNNNNNNNNNNNNNNNNNNNNNNNNNNNNNNNNNNNNNNNNNNNNNNNNNNNNNNNNNNNNNNNNNNNNNNNNNNNNNNNNNNNNNNNNNNNNNNNNNNNNNNNNNNNNNNNNNNNNNNNNNNNNNNNNNNNNNNNNNNNNNNNNNNNNNNNNNNNNNNNNNNNNNNNNNNNNNNNNNNNNNNNNNNNNNNNNNNNNNNNNNNNNNNNNNNNNNNNNNNNNNNNNNNNNNNNNNNNNNNNNNNNNNNNNNNNNNNNNNNNNNNNNNNNNNNNNNNNNNNNNNNNNNNNNNNNNNNNNNNNNNNNNNNNNNNNNNNNNNNNNNNNNNNNNNNNNNNNNNNNNNNNNNNNNNNNNNNNNNNNNNNNNNNNNNNNNNNNNNNNNNNNNNNNNNNNNNNNNNNNNNNNNNNNNNNNNNNNNNNNNNNNNNNNNNNNNNNNNNNNNNNNNNNNNNNNNNNNNNNNNNNNNNNNNNNNNNNNNNNNNNNNNNNNNNNNNNNNNNNNNNNNNNNNNNNNNNNNNNNNNNNNNNNNNNNNNNNNNNNNNNNNNNNNNNNNNNNNNNNNNNNNNNNNNNNNNNNNNNNNNNNNNNNNNNNNNNNNNNNNNNNNNNNNNNNNNNNNNNNNNNNNNNNNNNNNNNNNNNNNNNNNNNNNNNNNNNNNNNNNNNNNNNNNNNNNNNNNNNNNNNNNNNNNNNNNNNNNNNNNNNNNNNNNNNNNNNNNNNNNNNNNNNNNNNNNNNNNNNNNNNNNNNNNNNNNNNNNNNNNNNNNNNNNNNNNNNNNNNNNNNNNNNNNNNNNNNNNNNNNNNNNNNNNNNNNNNNNNNNNNNNNNNNNNNNNNNNNNNNNNNNNNNNNNNNNNNNNNNNNNNNNNNNNNNNNNNNNNNNNNNNNNNNNNNNNNNNNNNNNNNNNNNNNNNNNNNNNNNNNNNNNNNNNNNNNNNNNNNNNNNNNNNNNNNNNNNNNNNNNNNNNNNNNNNNNNNNNNNNNNNNNNNNNNNNNNNNNNNNNNNNNNNNNNNNNNNNNNNNNNNNNNNNNNNNNNNNNNNNNNNNNNNNNNNNNNNNNNNNNNNNNNNNNNNNNNNNNNNNNNNNNNNNNNNNNNNNNNNNNNNNNNNNNNNNNNNNNNNNNNNNNNNNNNNNNNNNNNNNNNNNNNNNNNNNNNNNNNNNNNNNNNNNNNNNNNNNNNNNNNNNNNNNNNNNNNNNNNNNNNNNNNNNNNNNNNNNNNNNNNNNNNNNNNNNNNNNNNNNNNNNNNNNNNNNNNNNNNNNNNNNNNNNNNNNNNNNNNNNNNNNNNNNNNNNNNNNNNNNNNNNNNNNNNNNNNNNNNNNNNNNNNNNNNNNNNNNNNNNNNNNNNNNNNNNNNNNNNNNNNNNNNNNNNNNNNNNNNNNNNNNNNNNNNNNNNNNNNNNNNNNNNNNNNNNNNNNNNNNNNNNNNNNNNNNNNNNNNNNNNNNNNNNNNNNNNNNNNNNNNNNNNNNNNNNNNNNNNNNNNNNNNNNNNNNNNNNNNNNNNNNNNNNNNNNNNNNNNNNNNNNNNNNNNNNNNNNNNNNNNNNNNNNNNNNNNNNNNNNNNNNNNNNNNNUCAUGCUCUCACAAAUAAACCUUUUUUUGAGCACUCUCUAUCUAUCUAGUAUAAUGUCAUUCUUCUUAGGACUCAUGUAGUAAUGUGGCUGAUUGAGGAGACUUGCUCUAGGCACCAAAUCAAUUUGAUGUUGGAUAUCCCUCAUGGGAGCUAGUUGGCUGGGUAGGUCGUUAGCAAUCAACUUCUUGAGCCUCUGCAAAAUUUUCUGCACUUCUUUUGGGAUUUCAACUUUCUUAGAUACAACGGCUAACAACCCUUUCAUCAUAACCGGAUAAAUUGUUUCUGCAUCUUUAACGGCUUCUAAACAGUCACGUUCAUUACUAGCUAUGAUAAGCAAACUGGAAUUCGUAGCUGGUUUCUCAGGUUUGCCAGAGUCAUUCACAGGAGCCAUAGCAAUUUUAUAAGAGCCCCAAUUGAAAACAUACACGUUAUCACGUCCCUUAUGAGUGGCAUCUGUAUUAAACUACCAAGGUCUACCCAACAAAAUGUGACUAGCAUCCAUAUCAAUAAUAUCAUAAAGAACCUCAGACUUGUAAUGCUUACCAAUGGACAGCGGUACCUUGCAAACUUCUGUCACCUGAACUGAAGGGCCUCUCUUCACCCAUCUCAAGGAAUAAGGUGAUUCAUGCUUCUCUGUUGGCAACUUUAAAUAAUCCAGAACUUUUUUGGAUAUGAGAUUCUCACAGCUGCCUCCAUUAAUAAUUAAACUGCACACCUUGUUGUUGACGGUACAAAGAGAUUAAAAGAUCUUAUGUCGCUGCCCUUCCUCUUGUCUUGGUACGAGUAACUCCCACUGCAAGGCUAGGUUAAUUAAUUCAUUACCUUCCUCAUAGGCGAAAUCAGCUCCUUCAUUCUCUUCAUCAGCACCAUGAUCCUUUUUAUCAUCCUUAUUCGCUUCAGUCAAGUUAACUUGCCGACAAUUGGGACAAUCAUUGGAUUUGUGGCCUGAUUUGCCGCAACGAUAAUAGUGAUCUCCAUAAGGUUUUGCAUAUGGAUUCAGUCUCUAGAAACUACCUUUAUCCCAGGUGCCGCUACUGCCUUCUACUACUCCCUUUGUGCCCUACCAUUUGUUAGUAUUAUUAUUCCCAGGAACCUGUGCAACUUCUUUACCUUUGUCUUUUGCAGGGACAGGUGAAUUGGCAGAUUUCUUCUGAAAAUUGCUAGAACUCGAUCAUCUCUCAUUCUCCAUAGGUUUCGCCUUGAGGCCCAUGCUAUUGGCCUCUUACACGGUCUAGAAAGUCUGCAACUCGAUACGAUCUUGGAUGGAAGGUUUAAGCCCAUUCAUGUACCUUGCCACAUGUUGACUAUCGGUUUCAUAUAUGCUAUUACGUUCUGUGAUGUGCAAGAAUUCAGAUGUAUACUCUACCACCGUCCUGUAGCCUUGGAUGCAAUUAUGGUAAAUGCAGUACAAAUAUUGCUCAAAAUCUGCAAGGAAGAAUUCGUCCAUCAUUAAUUGCUUCAUCCAUCGCCAAGUCCGCACAGGAUCUUUGCCUUGCCUUUGGCGCAUCUUCUGUAAUUGAUCUCAUCAUACUGCAGCACUUCUUUUGAGACAAAAAGUUGUUAGGUUCACCAUCUUCACCUCGGGGACUUUUUUAAGUUCAAAGAACCUCUCCACUUCAACAAGCCAAUCCAAGAAAUCUUCAACUUGUAAGUGCCUAUUGAAAUAUCGAAUUUCAACCUUCAUGCGAUAGUCUUCUUGGCGUUGGUUACUAGGUUGGGCAUGAUCAUCAUGAAUUUCUUCCUCCGACUCCGCAUCGCUACCUUCUUGACCAAAGUGUCAUGGGGGAUGUCAUUGUUACGUCGGUCUUCUCCUUUGUCUUCGUCUGGCCGUGCUUGGUUUCCCAAGGUCAGGAUCAUCUAAUGUAGACCCUCGAUUGCUGUAUUAAAUUCAUCACGAAUGAUUGGUUCCUCAUCUUCACAAGUCCUAUCUUCUCUGUCUGGACGAGCCAUUAGAGGCACUUUGAGUCAAGCAAAAAUCUGCCUCUGAUAUCAACUGACGCAGCGAGAUAUAAGGGAUAGGGUGAUCAAAUAAUAACUCUAUAAGUAACAAUGUCGGAAUCCACCAGAGAAAUUGAGUAAACCUCAAAUAUAUUGAUUGAAAAAUAAGAUGAAUGAUUCUGGAUGCUCCAACGCAUUCCUUUUAUACAAGAGAAACCAUAGACUUGCUUGGAAAGCUAAUUAGAAAACAAAAAGAGAAAAAAUAAAAGUUUCCCAAAAUAUUUUAAAAACUUUAAAUGCUGAAAAGUCCAAGCAAACGAUAGAAUUUGGCUAAAAUAGCUCAUAUGUCAUAGCAAAUCAGUGAGUUGCAUUUGUCAAGCCGUUCUAUUCGAAACGAUAGGUCAUGGGCCUAAUUCUGAGCUCGGGGCCCAUACUUACAAGAUUGGACUUUGCUGCCAUGACAACAUGUGCGCCUAUCCACAUUGGCGGACCCAAUGAAGGACUACUAUGAGCAAGUGCCCACACUUUAAAUUUUAAAAAAUUAAAAAAUUAAAAGAUACAAGGGGUUAUAUGACGACACCAGUAUGGGUGGCAGUNNNNNNNNNNNNNNNNNNNNNNNNNNNNNNNNNNNNNNNNNNNNNNNNNNNNNNNNNNNNNNNNNNNNNNNNNNNNNNNNNNNNNNNNNNNNNNNNNNNNCCCACCAAGUUCACUAUAUGAUAUGCAUCCACACACUCUUCAGAAUUACAAGGUAUUGCUACUCUGUAAAAAAAACUAGUUGAGACAAAAAAGGACAAGGAAUAUCCACUAGUUUAUCUUCUCAUAAAAUUGGCAUUAACACUUCCAGUUGCAACGACUUCAGCAGAAAAGGCAUUCUCUGCUAUGGACAUUGUGAAGAACAAAAUGCGUAAUCAAAUGGGAGACCAAUGGAUGAAUGAUUGCUUGAUAGUAUAUCUUGAAAAAGACAUAUUUAAUAGUAUUGAUAAUGAGCUUAUUGGGCAACAUUUUCAAAAUAUGAAAAGUCGUCGAGGACAAUUGUAAAUUUACUUAUUACACAAUGCUAUUAAUAUUCUAAGCUUAUUAGACAAUGCUAUUAAUAUUCUAAGUAUGAAAUAUUUUUUGUUUGGCUAUAUAUCGGUUGGAAUUUUUGUUAGAGAGAUUCACUAUUAUACCUAUAUAGGAGCUCAAAUUAUUAAAAAAAUCUUAUAUGAAAUGGACUUUAGAAACAUACUCAAAGCCCAUUUACAAUAUAACAAAAAUACUUUUAACUUCUUUUACAUUACAAAAAUUGCCAUUGAUUUUUUAAAACAAACUCAACCACAAAACCUCAUAAAAAAGCCCAAAACACUCAAUAGAGCAUCAAAGUAAUUUAAUGAUCAAAAUUAAAUUCAAUGGGGCCAGCUGUCUUUUUUUUUUUUAUUAUAGAAAUUAAAUGGUGUAGGGAGUAUUUAUAGUAUUAGUGCUAAGAAUGGGUAUAUGACUAAAUAUCUCUUUUUUUUAAGCCCCCAGAUGAACGAAAGUCUGGGUCCGCCACUGCCUGUCCAGUUUUUCUCAAUCAACUCAACCGUAUGUUCUACAUUAGGGAUUUGAAGAGUUGUUUGUCUGUCACGAUUGUUGUCUCCCCACUCGAAUUAUAUUAUCUCAGCCUUCAAAUAUAUCACAUUACCCAGGAUGCGAUGAUUUCAUCAGCUUACUCUCUCUUCUAUAUAAGUGUAAGGACCUAAGUAGUUUUUUCAACAUCAAUUUGCAGUCUAGCACUAAGUACACUCCAUCCUCCUAUCCUAUUAUUUACGUUUACUUCUUUUUGUGAAAAUGUCUAGCAAUCAUGGUAAGGUAGAGACUGAUGUUGAAAUCAAGGCUCCUGCUACCAAGAUCCAUGAAGUGUUGACACACAGACCACACCACAUAUCCAAUAUCAGCCCUAACAACAUUCAGGGUUGUGAUUUACUUGAAGGUGAAUGGGGCACCGUCGGCUCUGUGGUCUACUGGAAUUAUUUCCAUGGUAAGUAAGCCUCCCUAUAGCUUCAAUUAACAUCAAUUAUAUUAUAUAUUAUGUUCAUGUCGUUUGAUGUUAAUUUCUUUCUUCAACUAUUAUUAAUUGUUAUGCAGAUGGGAAAGCUAAAGUUUCCAAGCAGUUGAUUGAAGCCAUAGACGCUGAAAAGAAUCUGAUCACUUUCAAAGUGAUCGAAGGAGAUCUGCUGGAGCAUUACAAGAGCUUCAAGAUGACCUUUCAUGCCACUCCAAAAGCUCAUGGUCAGGGCAGCAUCGUCCAUUGGACUAUGGAGUAUGAGAAGCAUCAUGGUGAUAUUGAGGACCCACAUACCUUGCUCCAGUUUGCAGUUGAUGUCUCCAAAGAUGUCGAUGCUCAUCUUACAAGUGCCCAGGCAUAAUUAAUUAUAAUCGAAGGCUUGAUUGAGGCGGGCUUAUAGGAUCAUCUGUGAUUCUGUGUGCUUCCUAUAUAUCUACUAUCCAUUUGCUUUCUUGCUGCAGAAAUAAACGCCUUCAAUCAAUGUUUGUAUCUUAAGUCUGCGUGGGCACUGGCCAACCUGAAACUUUCAUUUACUUGUGUUUGCCGUCCUUAUAUGAUAUGGGCUAUGUAUCUUUUAUUAAUUCCAAGUUGGGGCUUUACCCAUAUAAAGCCAUAUUUCUACAUACUCUUGAAAUGUGUUUCUACAUCUCUAAUGCCCUCAAUUGAUCUAGCCACUCCAGUUCAAAUUUUUCUUCUCUUGUUAAUUUAAAAAUAAAUAUAUGUAACAUCUCUCAUCCACUCAUCAUGGAGCGAGACAUAAUUUGUGCGAUUUUAUGUAAGACUUAUAUCUAUCUAAUAUGAGAGAAUAGGAACCAACACCCCACACAAACCAAAUGAAAAAUAGAGUUAGGUUAUGGAGACAAGAUAAGUAAGUUAUCAAGACAGAAUUAUUACACGGAGAUAGAUGCAUAAAUCCUCAUAGUCCCUCAUAAUUUGUCAUUCAAUACUUAAUUAAUAUGAGCUUAGUCAAGUUGGUUAGAGUGGAUGUGUUGAUCCUCAUUAUGCAUUCGAGUUCGAUCCCCCUCUUCGUAGUCUAUAUUAGAUUAAAGUAGAAUAUCAUUUGUAUAAAUAAAAAAAAUUAAAAAAAUUUCCAUUUUUGCAAAUUUAGAGAGUACACACCAAGAAUUCUAUAGUGAGGGCAUUAUAUAUGGCCCUCAAAUAAGUUAGCAUGAUCCAAUGAUUAAAAGAUAUAACAUUACCUAAUGACCAUAUAUAAGGCUCUCACUAUCGAAUGACUCGAGUACACACAUACAUGCAAUAAUGGACUAGCCCAACAAUUUUUGAGCUAUCAAAAAAUUUUAAAGCCCACUUUUUAGAUGGAAAAUAAGAUUAGCCCAAUAAUAAGAAGACCAGUAAAACCUGGGCCAGCAAUUAUACAUCGAGUCUCUGAAGGAGGAACUGGGCUAAGCGGGCAGAGUAAUGUUGCGCUAUUAAUUAUGUAAAUUGAAGACUUUUCAACUCGAGUCUCAGUCUUCAAAUAUGUAUAGAAGUUUAACAAAUUGUAAAAUCACAUAUUCUGAGCUUGCUCCUCUACAGUUAAGGCAUACCGGAAAGUAAUUAUAGAAUAUGUCAAUUAAUUUCAGAUGCAGGGGAAAAGGGUAGAGAUUAGUUUAUGCAAAAACUAAAAGACUUAGUAGAAGAGACCUGAUAAACCUAAGAAAGUCCCAAAGGAUGCCAUGCCAAUUAAAACUGUUCCCAAUUGCACGAAGCGUAGAGCCUAGGCCCCGUUUGGUAACGUUUUAAGUGGUUGUUUUCAUUUUCAGAGAACAAAAAUGAGACAAAAAUACGUUCGGUGGCCCAAAAACAGAAAACAUUGAGAAUGUUUUCUUCAUGUGUACUUGUAGAAAACAAAAAAAAAUUGUUUUCAUUCUCAUGGGAAACGUUUUCCUAAAAAUAACUCACACAUUAUUUUUUUCAAAUUGUACUACCAGACAUGUUUUUAUUGUUUUUGUUUUCUGAAUAUGUUUUCUAAUUAAUCUACAAGACGCAUUUUCAUUUCCUGAAAAUGCAAAUUUGUUAUCUUAUUUUCAUUCUCUGAAAAUAUUCUAAGAAAACAUUCUCCGAAAACGUUACCGAACGCAAUGGAGCAGAUUUGGCUUGUUUUCCCGUUCGAUAACGUUUUCGGAGAAUGUUUUUCUUUGAAUAUUUUCAGAAUGUUUUCUAAUUAAUCUACAAAUUUGCAUUUUCAUGACAUGAAAAUGCGUCGGGUAGAUUAAUUAGAAAACAUCUUCAGAAAACAAAAACAAUGAAAAUGUGUCUGGUAGUACAAUUUGAAAUAGUAAUAUGUGAGUUAUUUUUAUGAAAACAUUUCCCAUGAGAAUGAAAACAACUUUUUUAUGUUCUCUAAAAGUACACAUGAACUUGUUUUUAUUUUAUGAAAACAUUCUCAGUGUUUUCUGUUUUUGGGCCACCGAACGUGUUUUUGCCUCAUUUUUGUUCUCUAAAAAUGAAAAUAACCCUUUAAAACAUUACCGAACGGGCAUAGGUUCCAAUUGGAUUCCUUUUGUAUUCUGUUUCAGUCUCUUUCUUAUGUAUUUGUUUACUAAAAAUCACCUUUCAUAGCAAAUAAAAGAAGAAAAAUAUAAGGGAAGGAGGUGUAUGUUUGUUGUGGUCACAACGCAGAAAAUUCCUAAAGGCCGGCGUACAAGCAAAGGCAAGACAAGAGGCAUGAAAACUACCUUUUUUUCACAAAAUACAGAACCCAAUUAGUCCAAUCUCUUAUUAUGUUCGAGUAGCAGAGAGGGUAUGAUGAGGAUGAAGUUCAUGAUGUUGGGGGGGUGCAGACAGCAACGUGCAGCUUACUUGGCUUAGCUGCUUGUUAUAGUCAGCCUCAGAAACACGCACGCACAUAAAUUAGCGGUUUCCUUUUGCCUUUUGCUGUUUCACUUUCUUUCUCGUUUCUUCUGCUGCCAUGUCGUUAUUAUUGAAUCGAUGGUGUCGGGGAUGGAGCAACUGGGGUUGAUUGAUUGGAAGUAGCAUUGGUGGUGGAUACGACGUCGCCCGAGCCCAGUUUAACGACUCUUUUAUAAGCACGACGAUGACGACGGAAGAGAUGAUGAUGAUGACAAGUUCAAGCAACUUGUUUGAGAACAGCAGCAGUUAUGGCAUGCCCCUGCCCUUGUCAUCCAUCGAAGAAGAAGAAGAAGAAGAAGAAGAAGAGGAGUCUACAAUCUCUGUCUCUGAUGAUGAUGAUGAUGAUGCAGAAAGUCUUUUCUCCAUUGAUUUUAAUAUGAAUCAUAAUAAUAUGCAUAAUAGUUAUAAGAAGGAGGAGGAGGAUGACAGGGAAGUUUGUUAUUAUCAUUAUUAUGUAGCAGUGGGGAGGAAGAGCGAGUCUAGCAUGGAUGCCCUUCUCUGGACGGUUAACCACGCAGCUACUCCUCAAUCAUCAUCCACUUCACUAGUCAAUGUAGUCAUCGUCCAUGUCUUUCCCCCUCUUCAAUUCAUUCCUUCUCCAUGUAAGUUCCUUCAAUUUAUUCAUAUUCUCUCUCUCUCUCUGUCUUAAACUCUCUGCCUAUGCUGGUCUAGCCUAGUGAAGUCAAAUGAGGAAGCGUGUCAUACAAUGAACGUGCACUCACUGUAUGGUCUAGGUCAUAAAUGUCACCUUCAAUCCCAUAUAUUCAUUAGUUUACUGUAAAAUUUCCAUUUUUUCCUUUUGUUUUUAAUUAGUUCCAUAGAAAUUUCAAAGCUGAAAAUGAUACCAGGGUUGACAUAUAUAGAUAUGUGUACAUAUCUUAUUCUUAUCUAAGCGUAAAUGACACGAGUUGAGUUGAAUCCUUCAAAGUCUUACAGUACCCUUGUUUUAUAAUUAAAGUCUAGCUGUAUGAUUAUAUCCCAGCUUGGGAUAUGCAUAUGGAUAUAUAUUAUUUAUAAUAAGCCAGAACUUUUAGAUACCUAGAUUAAGUACUGAUCUCAAACGUUAUAACAAGCUAACAUCAUUAUUUGUGUAACACAGUAGGAAUGCUUCCAAAAAGUAAAGUGAGCCCAAAGAUGGUGGACAAGUACAUGGUCCAAGAAAGAGACAGAAGGAGAAAGCUCCUUGAGAAAUACGUUGAUGCCUGUUCAGCUGCCAAGGUACACCAGAUUUCAAUGUUUCAGGCCCUCCAUGCUGCUAUUUACAAGUUGAUUAACUUUUACAACAAUGGAACAGGUCAAGGUGGAUGUUAUGCUUAUUGAGAGUGAUACGGUUUCCAAGGCUAUCCUAGACCUAAUUCCAACUCAAAACAUCAAAACUCUUGUUGUUGGAACCACCAAUUCCAGUAUGAGGUACAAUCACUUCGCUUGUAUAUGCCACUACUAGAACUCUGUUUCAGGAAGUUUCACAUUUCCAAGUUAAAAGCACAACUAAUUUGUUACGGUUUUGUGUAAUUAAGGAAAUUGAGGUCUAAGAAAGGAAGUGGGAUUGCUAGUCAGAUUCUACGAAAUGCACCUGAAACAAGCUGCGAAAUUCGGAUCAUAUGCAAGGGCAAGGAAGUGAUGGAUCAGGAUCACACGAUUACAGGGUCAAUUUCCUCACGUAGCAGCAAUGCGAAUUCCUUGUCUACGCAAGAGGAAGAUGAUAAUCAAGAACUACCAAUCUCACCAGAUUAUAAUAAGCAAGGGCUGCAUUACACGCUUCCUGCAGUGAAAUCUCCAUCAGCAAUUCCGGACACUACUACUUCUGCUCCACUUCUGUCUUUAAAUGGAUACAAGGCAAUGUGGAGGGGAAAACUAAAACCAAAAAAACAGCUUGAUUUUGCUGUGUAAUGUAACGUUUUUAAAAUUUAUAGAUUGGCAUGUAUAUAUAUAUAUAUAACAGUGUAUACUACACAUUAAAUCGACAUGGCACACGUAUUCUUGUUCUUAUGUAUAAAAUGUAUACACGUCCACUCUACUAUAUUGGCACUUAAAUUAUAUGUUGGAUACAUUAUGAUGCUUCUUCUAGUUUUAUACCUAUAUACUUCCACAGAUUAUAGCAGCUCAGCCUACAAUUCCACUUUUGGCAUAUUUUUCGAUCUGACUAAUGUCGAGGCUUUUAUCCAUUCCAUUUGCUAUGAUAAAUCUGCACAGAACCAGCCAACUUGAUCAAUGAAUCAUUUAAGAACAUUAUUACUAUUUAUUACUGUUGUAUGAAUUUGGAUACAUGGGACUUACUUAUCUAGAAGAACUCUUGUCAUCGUUUGGCAGCAGCCAGGCACAGAGGAUUGCAUGUUUACUGCAAUAUUUGGGUUGUGAAUGCUCUGCCGGAUGUGUACCCAACCAUGUUGUCCAUGUUCCUCAUCUGAUACUUUUGCUCUGAGAUGUUCAAGUUUUAAUUAUAAUUAAGCUUAAGAAAUAUAUAUGAUCCAAAUUUAAAUCCAUCAAUUGUCAAAUUUAACUCUUGUUUUAUAUAGCACCUGUACAUGUGAGCGUCAACGGCAGCAGCUGAGGUGUCAUUUGAGUCUACAAGGCAGCCUUCACUGACCCAACAAUCUCCACAUGAAUCUAAUUCCCACCCUUCAAGUCUCCCCUCCUACAAGUCAAUGUAUGUUUCGUUAUAAUCAACCAAAAUCAGCACUACUAAUUUAUCUCCAGUAGAAGCUGGCUUGUACAUGCAAGUACCUCAACGUACUCUCGGAACGUUUCAAUGGCCUCAAUCGCUUUUUCUUUUGCAUAUCUUGGCUCAGAGACCACAUUUAUCCUUAGCUCUAUGGACUCUGCUGGUUCUUCAAGGUCUUUGAUGAUAUUACCAACCCCUUCAUCCGAUCCUGCAAGCUUCAUGCGUACCAUCUCAAUGAUGAUCUUUACCACCAUGUAAGCCCCUAUAAAAUGAAACAACCAUUUAUGCACGCACAUAAUUAAAAUUCUAAUUGAACAAAGCAAAGCAAAAACAUAACAUGCAGAAACCAUAAUGCUAACCAUCAUCUAGGAAAUGGUUCUCUUUAAGAGCACCGUGUCCAGAUGUUUCCAUCAUGAGAUGAGUUUCAAUGCCCUCCUUGUUAAGCUGGACUCCCUUAUCAAUAACAUUUCGGUAACCAACCCGAUAUAAGCAAUGGUUCCCCCCUCUAUUGGUGAUGAACCUUGUAAGUGCCAUACUUGUACGAGCAUCGGUCACUAUGGUUGUUCCAGGGUGUUCCCUUAAUACAAUAGCAGAAAUUAGAGCAAUGAGCUUGUCACCAUUAAUGGGGUUGCCUUUGUUAUCUACAACACCACUGCGGUCCACAUCAGUGUCAAACACAAUACCAAGAUCAGCAGAGUUUUCUAGCACUGCAGCUCUGGUUACUGCCAUGGCAGUUUUGUCCUCUGGAUUGGGAAUGUGGUUGGGAAACAUCCCAUCUGGUUUAAGGUGUAGAGAGCCAAAGGUGUCUGCCCCAAGCUUGUCUAAGACAUCCCAUGUGAAGAAACCUCCUGAUCCAUUACCUGCAUUCACUAUUAUCUGCAUUAAGGAGCAAUUAGUGAUAUGUCAAAGGCAUACUGUUCUGAAUUUGAAUAAAGACCUCAAAUAUAUGACAUUUUGUUGGACUAAGAAGGCCAAUUAAGUUUGGAAACCUGAAAUCCUUGGAGUGGAGUUUCAUAAUGCAAUGGAUGGUUAACUCUCUCCUUGAUAAUGUCUCGGAGGUGCUUUGCAUAAGUGCUCAUGAAAUCAACUCUUGAUAGAGGAAUAUUAAGCAAUAUUGAAACUUUGGUGAGCCUAUUGGCAUACUUCCGGGCAGCUUUAUCGCAUAUGUCUUCCACAUCCGGGGAACUUAGUCCUCCUUUCUUGGUAAAAAAUUUGAGACCAUUUCGGGUGUAGGGCAAGUGAGAUGCGGUCAUCUGCAUCGCAACAUUCAAACCAUCAAAUGAUGAACUCACUUUAUAACAUCUAAUGUUAGAUGCCCUUCAUAAUCUUCUGGAUAUUGACUUAAUAAAAAUGUGAUUUCAAGUACAUAUGUGAUAUUAAGGCCAAUAUAGAUGUUGCUCUGUAUGUGCUACCAUGAUUGAAGCGUCAUAUGCAAAUGAAGGAAAAAUUGUACUCAUGAAGCAGGCAGGUGUAGUUGCAAGUCCCAUAUCAAAGACCAAACAACCUGCUCGAGCCAGGCCUGAAAAUACAGCUACACUCAAAGAUGCUCCUGAUAUUCUUGGGUCUCUGCCAAGGGACACUCCAACAUUCUCCACAGGAUGUCCUCGCUCCUUCUCCAAGCCAUUGAUGACCCAUUCGCCAAAACUCUCUGCUAUGGCCUCCACAGCCGGCGGUGUUAGGUCCACUGUCCGUCCCUUCUCGCCUUCCAAGGCCACCCCACGAACAUCAGACCCGUUUUGGAGCCUCCGAAUUCUGUCCAUCUCUUCAUCCACCACAACUUCAUUGUAGUACUUGGCAGUGCUAGAAGACUUCACACAUACAAAUUUAGUACUUAGUGGCAAUGAACAUGGAAAACUAAGGUUUGUGUGGGAUAUUCUGGGUGCUGACUUUGAAGGGAAGCAUGGCUUUUGAGCAUUGGUUUGCAAAGAUAUUGAAGAAGUUGAAGUGGAAGCCAUUAAUUAAUUCUGGUUCUGUUCAAUUUGGCGCCCUUUGGUUGUUUUUCAAAAGCUUUUGAAGGGGGAAUUUUUAGACCAAACAAACAAGUUUGGAGGAUAAGAUAUCUCAGUUAACUAUAACCCUUCAUUUCAAUAUCUAUACAACACUGGAAGAAAUAUCUUUGAACAAAAUGCCAGAUUUUUUUUCUUGUUUUAUGUCAGGCAAUGUUUCUUCUAUUGUCUUAAUGUGCUAUUGAUAAUCUCCAAGUCCAUGAGAAGGAAUGGCAUAUUCUUGCAUACCAUAGGAUGCUUUCACGUUUAAAACACUCCCCAAGAGAUAACGAAAGAGUUAACGCGUCACUUUAACAUGUGAAAUUAUUUGCAAUUUAUAUGCCAUUUUAAGUAAAUUCAAAGAUCAUUUCAUUUUACACUGUCCUCAUCUCACCCAGCGUCCCUCCCAGCCCCCCUUCCCCUUGCCUUCUCUUCAUCUUCUCUUCAUCCAGCAACUCACUCACUUUUUCAUUUGUUCUUUCACCAGUCCUCUUUCCCUCUACAUUCAUCUACCAUCUGCCAUCAUGCCUACAACCACUGAAAUAGAGCCCUAGCGGUAGAUUUAAUAACAAGAUCCAACCAACACAUUAAACUAGUGUGUGUGUGUGUGUGUGUGUGUGUGUGUGAGUUUUUUUUUUUUUUUUGGUAAUCAAUAAAUAAUAUUUUCAUUCCAACACAGAAGUGUGUUUAUAUAUAUAUACAGGGACAAAACAAAAGUUAGAAGUAGUUACAUGAUUCAAACUUUGAGAUAAAGAAAAUACAUUAAAGUAGUCAUUCCAAGCAGAAGACAUGAUGUUUGCUUGAAACAGAUUAUGUACAUUAAGGGACAAAACAAAAGUUACAGAGAAGAACAGAGCAAAAAGGAAUUUGGGUUGUGCCUAGACACCUGCUAAACCUUUAGAACCAGGAAGGUGGAUCCACUCAAUUUGAAGCACAAUUUCGCCGCACUCGACGUUGUUCAGUUUGAGAAUCAUGUCCUGAACAAUUUUGCCAUUUUCCCAAACGCAGCAGCUCUCAGAGGACAGGCAGUUGGUCCUGUUGGGCUGAACUUUCUUGACGGCGCAGCCCUUCGGGAGGACGUCCAAUCCCAUCUUGAGGCACUCAACGUAGGGUUUGAUGUCUAUGUCUGCAUCUCCCAUCUUGUCGUCCACAGUUAACGUGUCCUUGUCGUACACUUCUAGAUGGAUGUUUUCUUCCAAAUUUGUAAUGGAAAGCGUCAGCUCCUCGUUCCACUGAGGGUUGCAAUUCUUUUUUAUCACUUUUGUUUUCAGUUUCUGGGAACCCAUGGUGACCACCACGUAAGGAUCACUGGUCUUGGUAUCACGAACAGCAAGGUUGAUACCUCGCUUGAUCCGAAGCCUCAGAAGUCCCAGGAUAUUGUUCAUCUUUAUUUGCUUGCUUGCACAAUCCUAAAACCUAACUUAGUUUCUUUCUGGUUUUCGAGUUUCUUUUGUUGUUUGUGGCUGUGGAUGAGAUAUGAUACGAGACCUGGCGUUGAUAAAAAUGUGCGCUCAGGAACUCAGGUAUAUAAAAUGCCAACACAGUCACUGUGCAGCGCUUGAAAGUCGUGGCAAAUGUCAAUACGGCAACCAUUCACGGACAGACCACUCACUCAUAACAACCGAUCACUUUGUGUUUGCCAAUUGAAAAUGUGGAAGUGGUCCACCGACCUUAUCGCUUUACCAACCCCAUUAUUAUGAGUCACUCCUUUUCAAUAGACUCCAAGGCUUAUUGGGUUACUGGGUUAUUGGGUUAUGGACAUUAUGGGUUAUGGGUAGGGCUUAUCAUUGAGUUAUGGGUUUUGGGUAGGGCUUAUCAAAUUUGUUGGGGUACAUUUUGGUUUGGGUUGGCCCAUCAAAUUUUGUAUUUGGUUAGCGCCCAGUGCAUACGUUCAGUUCAUGAAUUGCUUGUGUACACAAAAGUCGUUCUAGAGUGAGGGCCUUAUAUAUGACCCUUAAGUGAGAUUUUAUGUCUUAACUAAUUUAAUUCAACGGCUAAUUAAUUUGAUCCAAUGAUUAAGAAAAACGUUGGAAUGGACUUUGCUUAGUAAGGUGGAAAAUGUAGAACAUGAAAGCUGGAUUUUUUUUAUGAGUUUCAUUGAAAUUGUUUUCAACAUAUGAGAAAAGGGGGAGAGGGACCGCGUAUAUUAUAUAUAAUCUUUGUAUAGUAAUUUGCAUACACAUCCACAAGGCCUUUACUACCAUAUCCUCUGAGAAGACUUGUGAUUUGGCUGUCUUACCUUUGUUCAGCAAUAUCAUUCAUUUUUAUCCUCACCUUUUUUUAUUGGGGGGGCAAUAUCCUCCGUACCAUAUGCGUCAGACUAUUGCUAACUAAUUAUAUGGUUUCAUAUAGUUUAAUUUAGGAUUGCUUUUCCUGAAUCCACGCAUCCAAAUUCCAAUCCAAAUGCACGCAGUGCCAAUAUUAUAUGCACAAUUCAAUAUGUUUGCUUGCUUUUUGUAUUCACUUAUACAAAAAGAAGGGAAGGGAGGGACCCAAAGUUAUCAUUUUCAAUGCACCCUUUUCAACUUUAUGUCAUUUCGUACAUCUCAUAGCUGGAAAAGCUUAGAAGGGAAUUUGCAAAGGAUCAUCUCUCACUCUCACACUCUCACACUCUCACACUCAUAUAUAUAUAUAUAUAUACAUGUUACACAUGCUGUGCUUAUGUAUGUGUGUUGUCCAUAAAUCAUGAAUGUGCGUGAUCUGAAGGAACAUGUGGUUGACAUCAUGGUACAGCAGCAUAUGCAGGGAGUGGUAUAUGAUUCUUCACCACAUAACGUUCCGCGGGUUUUUUCGUUAUUUAAUUUCAACCAAUAAUUGAAGUUCCUCAUUUUUUACUUCCAAGCCUACCAACAACUAAUUAAAUAAUUAAUUGAUAUAUUAUUAUAUUAUAUCAGAAAAUUUAAGCCUCUACUUUUUGGCUGAUAUGAUAUGACUGGAUUUUUGGUUAUCAACUUGACCAGCCAGCAGCUUUCGGCCUUCCUUCUUCCCCUGCUUGGAUUUGGAUGUGUCAUGUUCUCCAAGGAAAUUGUGAUAUUAUUUAUAAAUAAACAAAUACCACUUGAUUCUCUUCUUAAGUCUUCAUUCAAUUAAUUGCUCUAAAUCCUAUUAUUCUUUCUUAUGUCAAAGGUUCACACCCGAUAUUCCACCUAAUUACCAAAACAAAUUAGUGUUAAAACUUAAUUAAAUCAGACUCUCUCUCUUGACCACCAAGACACGGUUGGUGGGUUUGGGAACGUCAACUUGUAUCCGCAUAUUCACAGAAUAUGUCAUUUUUCACCAAGAAAAACAACUUUAAUCAUAUUUUCUAUUUACCUCUCUUUCUAUGGGAGGGAAUGGGAGGGAGUAUUAUAAUGUCAUUCUUAAUACACAUCAUUCUUACGCUAACAUAAUAAAGACAAACAUAUGUUCAAAAACACUAAUUCUCUAAUUAUGGGUAGUUAAACUAACGGAUUUAGUCCCUCUUAUUAUAUUAACGCUGCGUAAUUUUUAUUAUAAAAUCGUAACUCAAGUAAAUAAGUGGACACACUGUCUUAUCUAACUAGUCUGUCCCCCACAUAUAUAAUUUUAUUUUAAAUAAGAUGAAAAAUCCUUGUAGUUUUAAUGACCAUUUAGACACAAUAACAAACAAACAAACUCACACUACGGAGAUUAAAGAAGAAUGCAUUAAUUUUAGGAUAUUUAAUUUUUAAAAAGAAUGAAUUUGUCUAGAAAACCCUAAAGAUAAGGAAUUUGGGGCCUCCACAAAUAAAAUGGAGUGUAAAACCACUAAGAGCAAAAUGGCUGGUGAGAUGAGUUGGAUGCUAAAACUUCCUCUCCAAGUAAAGAGUGUAACUAGUCAAAACAAGUGAGAAAAAAUAAGAAGAAAAAUAACUGAAAUUCAAAUAUUAAAGAAUUAGUCACAACUAAUUAUUUACUGAUUUAGCCGCUGUAAAAACUGACACGAUAAGGAGUACGCGCCAGCAAGAAUAACGGUAACAAGAAGGAAGGAAGCGGUAAAUUUGGAAAGUCGGUGGUAGUAAAAUGUACCCCGAACCAACUCACAAUUCCAAACGAAAGAAGGAAACCGGAAUGUAAAUAUAAAAGCAAGCAACCCCAGCAGGCUCUUCUCCCCAGAAUUACAUCCCUUCACAAAAUACACACACUCAGGAUUUGAUUCUUGGAGAGAAGAAAGAGCCGCCUCCGCUCCCGACCAAACCCUAACCCUAAUUCCCAAAUUUCCUUUCGCUUUCUUUCCGUUUCGAUUGAACCCCUCCCAGAAACCCACAAAAUUCUUCUCUUCUCAAAUUUGUUUCUUGAUUCGAAGCCAGCAAGUUGUGAAUGGUGGAAAUCUUAAGCAUCAGUAAUUUCAUGCGCUCCCUUUUACAAUCAAGGGCGAGCGCUUUUCUCCCGAUCUCUGCUGCGUCUGCUUUCGCUUUCGGCUCCUGCAAGGAAGGCUGGUACUACCGCUGCCUCGGCGUCGACCCCUGAACCCCCUUCGUCUCAUAUAUCUCUAUAUUUCCUCUUUCUCAUCAACGUUUUUGAUUAUCGCACCCGGAUUUUCAUUAAUCGCCGUCCGUCGGUUUUUUGAUUAUUUGAUUGAGAUCAAUAACUUGUUGGGAAAGAGGGACUCGGAAAUUUUUUUGAUUUUUUUUUUUUGUUGGCUGCCUUUUUUGCUGUUGAUUAAUUGAUUUGAAUUCGAUUACGAAACGACGAAGAUGUUGCUGUACAAGCAGAAGAAGAAUCCAAACAGCGCCAAGGGCAACAGGCUCUUGAUCAGCAUCACUGUGCUCGGCAGCGCCGGCCCGAUCCGCUUCGUUGUCAACGAGGAGGAGCUUGUCGCUGCCGUCAUCGAUACGGCCUUGAAAUCUUAUGCGCGUGAGGGCCGCCUUCCGGUUCUUGGCUCAGAUCUUAAUGACUUCCUGCUCUACUGCCCCAACGCAGGACCUGAUGGUAAUGAAUUCUCAAAAUUCCUUAUAAUUUUUAAUAAUAAAAAUUCAAUCUUGUUUCUGAAUCAAAUUUUAAGAAUUGAUACCUUACCCUUUUUUAUAUUCUCAUGACUGAAACAACCCAUCUCAGUUUUGACAUAAAUUUGUGAAAUUGACUAGUUGUUGUUUAUGUGAAAUUGGUUCAUUAUAUUGAAAUACCCAGCUUCUGUUUUUAUGCAUUUCUUGAAUAUAUAUAUAUAUAUAUAUAUAUAUAUAUAUCUCUAGGAUUGCUUAUUGACGGUGUUUUUGGAUUUCAUUGCAGCUCUGAGUCCGUGGGACACAAUUGGAGCACAAGGAGCUCGUAACUUUAUGCUGUGCAAGAAGCCUCAGCCAGUGAAAAUGGAUAGCGAUGAAAUACCAGCGGCUGCAAUUACUCGCAAGGGUAGUGGGAGUUGGAAGGCAUGGAUCAAUAAGUCCCUCAAUCUCAAGAUCUCCUCCCAUUAAAUUAAUGGGGAAUGAGAGAGUUUUGUUUGAGUUAUUGGUGUUUUGUUCAUUAGUUAUAGAGGCAGCUCUAUCCUUUGGGCUGUAAUCUUUUCAAGUUUUUUGUUUUCGAAUAAAUUACAGAUUGGUUUGUUUGUUAUUUCUUUCCAUGGCAUUUUUGCCAAUAGCUUUUGAGGAUCUUCUAGUGAUAGUUGGAACUCGGGAGUUUGCUUGCAUUUGUUGUGCAAUGGUGGAAAUUGCACUGUACCUUUUAUUCGGUUUAGUUGCAUAAUUAAAUGGAUUACUUCUUUCAUGAUUAAAUGGAAGUUGCAGUCGAUGACCACUACGCUUUGUUUGGUGUAGAGUACUCGCCUAAUCCUCUAGGACUUUUACCCAAUUUUUGUACUUGUUACCCCUUUUUGCUCAUUAAUAAAACACCAUUGCCCUCGUGUUUCACAAUGGAAGUUGCAGUCUGAAUUUUCUGACAUCAUGUGAUCAAGGAAGGUGGGAAUUGUUUCAAAUUUUAGUAAGUAGGUAGGCUUCUAGUCAAUCAAUUAUAUCAAUUGAAGGGGGGCUGCUGUUGAAUAGGCUUUUUGACCACUUUGAUUAUUUGAAUCAGUGGUUUGCCAACACUCAUGUUUUAGAAGCUUUAAAAUUACUACAGUUCAUGUGGCUAGUGUGAGCACUCAUAGUAUGCUAUGAGAUACUUGUAGUUCAAGUGGUUAAGAGUUUUAUGUCAUUUUUCAAGCGGUGAAUGACAUGUUUAGAAUUGUUAAAAAAUUAUGUCCUUUUUCAUUUGGGAACUAAAUUGCUAGUAUUAUGCGUUGCCAAUUUUAUUUUAUUUUAUUUUUUUUGCCAGCCAUUGUGUACAAGUACAAUUGCCAUUCCCAUCCUUUUCUGAAUAGAUGAGAUGCCCUCUGCUUCUUUCUCGCUGGCGCAGACUGGAGAGAGCAGCAUCGCAUUAUUGGAAGAAUAUGCUUCUUACCAACCAAGGUGUUACGUAUGAAGUUGAGCUUGCCAUCAGAAUAUGCCUCUCAAUCAAUUAAACGUACGAAUACCCAAUAUAAAGCUACAUUAUGCCUCUCAAUCAUUUAGGUCCUUUCUAAAUUCGGAAUCUAACACGGCUACACUACUUAAUUGCAAAUCACAAACAAACACGUAUACAAAAAAUAACUUAUUAAAAUCACAAUAAAAAAUAAAAAAUUAGCAAGUACACGUAGUAAUGCUUCCUCGCAUAUAAGGAACCGAAUAUUUUUCAUUUCUAAUGGUUUAGUCAAAGAGAAAAUGUGCCGGCGGUGAUGGUCCACUUACCCUCUCCACUCGUCUGAAUUUGUUAAGUCAUUGCUUGUGUCGUGACCGUCCACCAUCACAAGUUCACGACCACAACCAACAAGGGCAUCAGGUUUACUAUUCUGAGAGCGACAUAAUAGUCCUAUGGUGAUCUUAUCCUCAAACGUGCAUGUGGUACAACUGUCAACUGUAUGUACGUACGGUACCACAAACGUACGUGGCACCAUCACAAUGUGUCUCGUCUCCUAUAUUGUCCUUAUCACCGUUCAUGUAUUCCCUCGUCUCGUUUAAAGCCACGAAGCUCUCUCCUUUUUUGGGUGUCUGGGUGCAUGAACUGUCUGUCUGCAUCAUCGUCCCUGCCACGAUUUAUGUCUUCUUUCUUCUGUAGUCUUUUCACGUAGAAUUGAUUUGCAAUUUCUCCUUAAAAUCUUUUCCUUUUUGUUCACUGGGUCUUAAUUAACAAGAAUGAAUGAAAGAAGGUAGGUCUUAAUCUUAAGUUUGGUUUUUCUGAGCUGCCUCUUUUCUGCUUCAACUUUGAACACUUGUUGCAACCAUGCCCACUUAUUUCUGUACAUCUAAAAUGGUGCUCAGCCCAAGAAAUUCAAUUUGGGCCACAAUUUAUAACCAUACAAAACCCGGCCCACUUAUAUAAAAUCUGAAUCUCAAUAUAGUAUUGAGAUGAUAAAAUCAGCAAUCUCUUCCCAAAUAAGUUUUUUUCUCUAGCAUCUGUUUCCCAAAAAAACACUCCAAGCACUAUUUUGAUGAAUCCAACUAUUAUCGGACUCGACAUUAACAGUUCGAUUUUGAAGAUUUUUUUUCACUAAAUACUAAACUCGUGAGUUGGAGAUAAACGGACUCGAAUCGCUGACAUCCAUCACAAGAUAAACUACCGCCUCUCAGGCCCCCGGCUGAUUCUAUCAUAGAGACCAACGAUAAACAAUAACCCGUCAACGCAGCUUAACUGUUGUAAGUGUAUUACUCAACUAAGAAAAUCUAAAAUAAUACAAGCAUUUUCCAUAUAAAAAAAGAGAAGCCAGAGUUACUUAGGCCAAAGCCUAUCGCUGUAAUUGACAUCUCGAGGAAGCUUGACGUGGACACAAUAAAUUAAAAAGUGGUCAAGUGUUGGCAUUUCAAUUCUCAUAGGUUCCUAGUUGCUUCCUUCCUUCCUUCUCUGAAAAGAUUUAUAUGUGGAAUGGAGUAAGAAUUACUUAAUAUUUGUAACAUUUACUUGGUCUCGAUCAAUUUACAGCCGCCAAGUGGUGCGACGAGAUAUGUUGUGAGAAAAGAAAAGAAGGAAAAUUGGCCAAGUUGGGGGAGGAAGGAGAGAUAGAGAGCAGAGCAAAGCAAAGCAAAGCAGUGGUCAAAGGUUUUUAGAGCCUUAAAAAGGCUGUAACUAAGACAUCAUGUCAUAUUCAAGUUAUCCCGACAUGCAACAACUGUUCCAAAAACACACGAGUGAUUCUGACUCUAUAUAAACAACGACACAUCAUUAUUUAUUAAUCACUGCCUUUUCUUUACUCAGUAAAACACUAAAUUUAUUCAUUAUCCAUAUGAGCAGUUUUCUGUCGACUGUUGAAGAAGAUGCGGCCAGCCACCCAAACCCAACGCCUCCUUUUUUUCCCUUUCAUUUUCUUCCACCUCCGUUCACUCUCUUAUUAUUAUUAACAAGAUGUCAUCACUAGUUGCAGUCGCUUCUCGACCCUAAAUUGUUAGCUAGUUCAGUCUGACUUGGCUUUCCAUUUAAAAUAAUUAACAACGAAAACGACCAAUUUGAUUUAUUAAAAUGAAUAAAAGAAAAGAAAAAGGAAGAAGUUGCUAAAGUCACACGUCUGCUUUUUGCUUGAAUUUUAUUUUUAUCCUUAUCAGAAUCACUCCUAAACAGAUCUUAUAAGGAAUAAAAGGAAAGAAAAAGAAGAAGUUGGAAGAAGUUGCUAGAGUCUCACGUCUGCUUUUUACUUGAAAUUUAUUUUAAUUUUUUGCGCUUCAAUUUGUGGAACGGGGACAAAGGGUGAUGAGUUGGAGAAUAGGGCAUGGGAAGUUUCAAAUGGAGCGUGAUGUGAUGUGAUCUCCAAGUAAAACUAAAGCUUGUGGGGGUCAAGUUGAUAUUAAACAAAAUAUAUAUACAUAUCAUUUUGGCCUUGUUCGUACUGAAUAAACACACUGUUACUAGGUGUAAAUUCGACAUUAUAGAUUAUUAAAUGUGUAAUUGUGUUUGUCACAUAAUAUAUAAAUGGUGGUCCAAUGCUCUAAAGCCCUCCCCUCAGUGCUUCUCUUCCCUUUCAUUCACUUACUUAUGCUCAUCUAUACUGCUCUCUACAACCCUAAUUAAAGUUUUUGUUCCUUCCCUUAACAAAUGCUUAUAUAAUAUACUAGUUAAUUAAUUUCCUAAACUAUGGUGCAGGCCAAUAAUAAAGAACAAUACUGAUUGACGACCCAAGAUUAAUAAUUAAUAUUGCCUUUGAUUUUGAUUAAUAUAUAUUGUGAUUACGACGAUGACCCUAAAUGAUUGAUAGGGCAGGGGAUAUUUGGUUUCUUUCAGCUGGUACGUAUUGGUUUUGGUCAUGCUCAUGCAGCACCAUUUGUAAAUUCUUAUAUCCAAACGAAGGAAAGUUGACACAUAACAUAUAAUAAUGACUAAAUUUUUAAGACCUAUAUAUAUAUAUAUAUAUAUAUAUAUAUAUAUAUGAUAUAUCUAGGUGGUGGUGGUGGUGGUGGUGGCUAAAAUAAUAUAUAUGCAGAGAUGAAAAGAAAAUUAGGUGCUAUACCGAUUCCUCAUUCAUGAUUUUGAUUUGCUUGUUUCUCAUUAGAGAGGAGAAUUGGUGGGUUGGAUUGACAGGCACACAAAACCUGCACUGAUCAAUGAAUCCUGAAUGUGUACGAUAUAAUACAAUACAAUUAGAGUCAUGCGAAAUAUAGAUGCAAUUUAAAUUUGAAUUUCUGUCCUUUCAUCUGAGAUUCCAAGGCAUUCUACCUACCGCAUAUACUAUUAGUUGACCUGGCCUGGUCAUCACAGACAAAAAUCAAGACCAAUAAGUUUAGAAUCUGAGAAUUGAACAGUGAUCUAAAACUCCUUCAACUUCAAGGGUUUUCGAUUCGUUCAAGUAUGUAUAAAUGACAAAUUCUAUUGUAAAACAAAUCAAAUCAAAUUGUUAUAUUGUAAUUCAUUUGGCCGUGAUAACUGAUCCAAUCCAAACCAUGCCAGAUCUAGUAAACAAUGAUGCAUAUUAUAUAUAUGUUGCAUUUGCAAUAUUUGUUUCCACAAUUUUUCAUCUCAUCUCAUAUCACAUGGAUGAUGAUGGUGUCGUCGUUUUCACCCCCUGCAGUCAUUCCAUGCAAUAUUACAUUUAUACCCUUAACUAGUAGCCCAUGCGUAUGUUAUAAGUAUAGUCUGUCUCUGUCUGCGUCUCUCUUUUCCUCCGAUGGAAGGGAAGGAAAAGAAUUAUUGCACUUGUUAUUUGAGGAAAACUGAAAAAGAAAGAAAAGAGAAAGGAGGAAUUGGAUUGAUCAUGUGGAUGUGGGGAUUAAUUAAUUCACAAAGCUGGAGAGAAGUGAGAUAGAUGGCGCUAAAGAACAUAAUAUUAAAAGCCUACUUUUUCAAGAAAGUUUCAGAAAAGAGAACACUUUGACAUAAUACUAAUAAUAAGUGAUCCUUUUCCCUUUCUUUCUCAUGAAUUAUGAUUGAUUGUGCUUGUUUUCCUCCCUCCUCAUUUCUCCUCACUCCUCCUCACUCCUCGUAGAGAUGCAAUAUAUGCAUUUAAUUCUUUCACCAAAAUUGUUCAAGGUAAAUUCUCCAUGUUUAUAAUAUGUCCCAUCCCUCCCGGUGCUAGCUACUAAAUUCAAGCACAUUUGACAUUUCUGGUAAUAUUCUACCCCACAACCAAACCCAACCAAAGCUGCCCAACAGUAAACUAGUGGAAUCCAUCCAUCCAGGUUCAAUUUUGGUAACACUUGUGCCCUCUUACUUUUUCCCCAAUUCAGUUCCAUCAUCAUCAUUCAUGAUUCAUGAUUCAUGCGAUGCCACCACAACACAACCAACAAACAACUAAAGUAUAAUAUUCAUUUAUAAGCAAUAGUUUAAACCACACCCCUCUAAAUAAGAGAACAUAACUCGAAUAUGAAUAUAAGGAAUCGCACUUAUUACCCUGACUCAACUACCCUAACACACGCCAACUCCCCUCAAAUAUGAAGAUAGAUUAGUUUUUAAUUACACAUCACUAAAUCCCAUUAAUAAAUAUGUCACAUCUCAUACAUCAAAUGGUAGUCAAAAAGGUUUCCAUUUCUUUUAUUAUCACCACCAAUAUAUAUAAAAAUAUAAACAUGAGUACACAUCCACCUCUUGGUUCACAAAAGUAACCCCUAGUAACAAAAUUAAGUAAAAAGGGCAAAAUGAAAAUGAUAGAAAGCAAAAGAAGAGGUAAAAGAAAUAGCGAGAGAGAGAGAGAGAGAGCGAGAGAGAGAGAGAGCGACGGUGUUCAGACAGACGCAUUUGGUAAUGGACCUAAAUGGUGGGGCUUUUUGGUGGGGGGUGUCUCAAUCUCAAUCUCAUUAUCGCACCCAGCUCACAAAUGCACAGAGACACAUUUCAUUUCAUACCCCACCACCACACCACUUGGGUGUGUUUGGUUGGCAGCAAAAAGAAGAUUCAAAUUUUUUAUAAAUAGAAAAAGGCUAGUUAAAGUUGACCCAACUCGCUACUCGACUCAGUGAGCCAUCACCGAGUCGCAACCGGGUUUCCAAGCCGAAGUGGCGAUGAGUGGGCGAGUGUGCCAACCCAACAUCAAACAACCAUUGUUCUCUUCCACUCGAUAUCCAUCCCCGCCGGCAAACAAAGCCAACAGCAUACUCGCUUGCUUGAACGCGUUCGACCCAAGGUGGACCGGCACAAAACCGCCCGAGUCCAACCGGGUUCGCCACUGAGUCAAAGUCUCGUGCCUCUCAACCCGGUCCACCCCUUCACAAGCCACCACGUUGCAGAUUUGCUUCCCCAAAUACAGCUCUGACAUCGCCUUAUCCUGACUGUUCACCGAGCCCUCCAGCGAGUCAAAAAGAGUCGAGUAAUAGUGCAGCGACUCGUUGAACCGGUCCAUGAAAACUGGACCGUUGUGGUUUGCCUCUUGCUCCACCACCGUGACAAUCUCCGGCUUCAUUUGCUUAACCACAGACAGGACCUUCUCAAUCGCGCCAGGGCGAGCCAAUAACUUGUGUAACUCGAAGACCGAGUUAACAGCCACCGAUUCGACCUCACUCGGUCUGAGUUCGAGCAUGGACGCGUCCAGAUCAGCCAAGCUGUUCGCCACAAACCCUCUGUAUUCAAACUCCACAUGGAUGGUUUCAGCCAAUUGGGCCAGCUUCCAGCCCACUUCUUGGAGAUGGUCGGAGUUGUCGGACGCCGGAGGCCCGAUACCCGUAAGCCGAAAGGCGGGUGGACCACCGGGUCGGAGCGCCAGGGCUUGCAUCAGCGCCGGCCACUGCAUCCCUUGGUUCAUCGAAAAAUCGAUGACAUGAACUCGAGUUUUGCCUUGGAGGGCUUCGAGGAUGGCUUGAUUGGCCGUAAAGUGAGCGAAUUUCAAGUACGGGCAGGUCUCGUAGAAGUGCAUCUGCAACAUAUCGGAGAAUGAGUGGUCGAUUGGGGACUGAGGGUAGACUCUGAAGAUUCUUUGAGCUAGAGCUUCGGCGAAGUAGGUUGCAACUUUUCGCAUAGCACCUGCUUGAGAAAUUGCCAAAUAGCCGAUCUGGGUCACCAGAGCUUUGGCCAGGUUGAGGUUGUUUUGCUGUACGGCUUUCGCGCAGGCCAUGAGGCCGUGAACGAGUCGGACCCCGUUCUCUUGUGAGUCGACCAGGAGGGCAGGGCGAGUUGAUGACUCGGUGGUGGGGAUGGAGAGGGGUUGUGGUUGCGGAAGAGAAGAGGCGGUGCGCCGGUUGAAGACGAGGUCAGAGGCAGAAGACCCAGAUGAGGGUUUGAGUCGCUUGGCCUCCCGGGACGAAGAAUCGUGGUGGGUUUGGGGGAACAUGGUAGCUUUGAGGUCGUAGUAGUUGGAAGAGGAAUUACAGUCGUCGAACACUACCUGAGGAUGAGGAUGAUGAUUUUGAGUUUGUAAAGGAGGCGGGCUCAGGGAUUUGCUCAUCUGUUGAUCUCGGAAAUCGAUGGAGGUGAUGGUGGAGGACUCGGCCGGAGCUAAGAACGAGUCGUCGCCGAGUUGGACUUGUUGCUGCUGAUUAGGAAGCGGUGCAGCGGCAGCAGCCAUUAAAGGGUCGAAAUUGGGAGGUGGGUUGAUCUCGGAGAUCAUGCUUUCUAGCCACGUCGAUAGAUCCGACGGGUUAUAGUGAACGGUAUCAGAAGCAAGCUGCGAAAGGCCAUCUUCCUGAACACUACCCAUGAAUUCUUCAAGCUGUUCGAGCUUCUGGGCCACCUCUGCCAUGUCAGAGGACCGUACCUUGUACCCCAACACGGCCAGAAGCUCGUCCAUCCCACCGUCGAUUCGUUGGGCAUCUUCUUCCCAUAUCUUAUUGGAGGCUUUGCCACAGUCGCCGGCAGAGGUGGAAGCCAUGGAUGAUGGGUCUGGAUAGGGAUAGUGAUGAUAACUCUGAUGCUCUCUUUUCAUUUCUUUUUUUCUGGGUCAGGUUGAUUUUGGGUUUGUGAUUAAUUGUGAAUUGUGAAAUGGUUUGGUUUGGAUUUGGGCAUGGGGAGGUGUGUGUUACUCAGAAACCAGAGAGGGCUGUGAAUGGUUGAAGAAUCUGAGCAUUGGGGAUUGGGAGGGUGUUUGCUUGGUUUUUCACUACCACCACUACUUGUUCUAUCUCUCUCUUUCUCUCUCCCUCAGCUGAGGAAAUAAGAAUAUUAAUGAUGCCUCUCUUGAGUCUUUGCCAGUUUUAGUAUUUUUAUUUCCAUUUAUUUAUUAUUUUACAAAUAAUAAUAAAAACUACAAAAAUAACAUAUAUAUUAUAUAUGUACUCGUGAUGGGGGCGCGACCUCCAAUGAAGUAUCAGGCAAACAGCAACAACUACUACAGCUCAAACACAAACAGAUAAACAUGAAAUUAUUUACAUUUUACCUCUAUUUUCCUUUCUUUAUUUUUGGGAAAAUUAAAAAAAAUGGUCACAGGCUCUGCAGACUGCAGCCUCAUAUUAUUAUUGUAUAGACCUCCUCGUUCAUUUGAUUCCCAUUCUCUCUCUUCUUUUUUGCACUUUUUAAUGGCACGUGAUUUGAAUCUGAUUUGGGUUUACUUUAAGUAAAAAAAAUUGAGCUGAGAUUGGAAGACCAUGUUCUGAAUCUGAUCUUCAGUUACUAGGUUUUACCUUUUACUUAGUAAAAGUUAGUCAAGGGAAAAGAAAAGGACACUGUUCCUUUAAUAGCGACACAUCUAUUAAUUGUAAUUAUUAUUGAUUAUUAUUUAUUUGGUGGCUUGAUGUUCACUUAAUUAAUUGAAUUUGGGUUUCAGGGGCAUAUGUAGUUUAAGAUAAGUGAUUGCCGCGUAGGAAAGUUAAUGCAUCUCUCCAUAUAUUAUUAUGGUCGUGAUUUGCUGUUAAUUUAAUGAUUCCCAUCCAUUUCAUUGGGGGGGAAUCGGAUGUAGUCAGAUGCAUUGUGCAACAAUUUAGGUAAAUUACAAUAAAAUAAUGCUCGAGCCAGAUCAUUAAAAGUUGUCGAGCUUUGAAGUUGAGCAGCUUAGGUCUAAUUAAUGUCGACUUAUCUAAUCCUUUUUUUUUUUCCUUUGCUUUUAUGUAUGGCAAAGUUUCAUUCAUAUGGAAAUUAAUGCAACGAGCAAGUCCUAUGCAAUGCAACUGCCAUUUCUCAGGUCUCACACCUCUUUUGUCGAUGCUCGCUUAACUCUCUAGAUCUUAUUAUUUUUUUAUCUUCGCUUCCUCAUAGUGAAAACUUAUCUUUCGUCGACUGAUGUGUAGAGAUGCUCGCUUAAUUCUCUAAAUCUUAUUAUUUUUGUACCUUCACUUCCUUGUAGUAAAAACUUAUCGCUAUUUCUCUCAAACUCUUAUCACCAAAAACAGAGAAAAGUAAAACCUUGUAAAAAUUCUCACACCCAGGAAAAGAAAAAAUUUCAGAAAUCAGGAAUUCUUUAUCCUCCAAUGGUCAAUUACAAUUAUUGUGUAAGAAGCACAUGGAAAUUAUAUAGUUCACUUAAAUACAGUCCUAAAACAAUAAAUUAUAUAGUUCACUUAAAACAAUAAGAAACGACGACACAUGUGCUCACAUAAUGCAGGCGAUAAUUGAAAAUCAAAUAUUCUUUUCUUUUUUAAUAAACAAAAACGCAAUCAUUCAUUAUUAUAAAUAUGAUUACCAGCUAAUGGUAUUAUUAAUUAUACUCAUGAAAGAUUACUCUCAUUCAUGAUCAAAAUUGACAUCGUCACUAACACAAAUCCACUGCCCCUUUCUUUGCCAACUUCCACAAUUAGAUAAGAUCGAAAUCCUUUCAUGUGAACCAUACAAUAUGCACUAGUACUAUAACUCCAGCAUUCAAGUACUCAUAAUUUGAUGAGACUGCUUUCAUAUUAUAGCCUAGUCAACUUUUACUUAACUUUUUUUUUUAAAUUAACUUUUACUGGAGCUUUCUCCAUCAUUAAAAGAUAAGAAAAGGAAGAGGCAGUGGGCGGGGGGUUGUUCUGGUUUUGGACAGAAGGCAUCGACUACAUUGUGUAUGUAAUUAUGUGAUAUCUGUGUGCAAACAAGUUGAAGCAAAUAUUCCAUGUAUAUUGUUCUUAUCGCCACACAAAAUUUAAAAUCACAAAUAUUAUAAGAUAAUGGUGCUCUUCUUUGGCCUCACACGUAAAGUUCCACUUCUUUUGGAUGGUUUCAAACUUUCUCUAUUUUCCUUUCUGGUUCAUAUAGAAUCUGGGAGAUAAUAGCUUAUGAUGGUCCAUGACACGUUUCUCAAUACAAUAUUUCUGUACCUUUCCUAGCUCUGCUCUUUCGAUGAAUCUUUUGAGGGACCAUUUGGGACCAACGAGCGCUUCCAAAACCUUCACCAUGUGAAUGUCCUCAUGCCUUCAAAUAUAAAUCAAAAUUUGGCACCUGCAACUCCUGCGGACAGCUACCAAUGAGUUGGUAACUACGACAUCCGUUGCAGACAAGUUUAAAGAUAGUAAUUAAGGUACUUGAGUAAAGAAUUUGCUAAACCUUUCGAUUAGCAUCAUGAUCCCUCUACGAAAGAUUUUAACUGCUGUCGAAAUGCAGGGAUCUUGUCUGCUUUAACCGCCAUGACUAACCCCAUUUGCUGAUAGUCUCUCAGCUGCAAAAUUUAAAAAGAAAAACAGAGAAAUCGUUAUUGUCAUAAAGGCAAUUAAAUUGCAAUAAUUAAGCCAUAGGCGCAAUCAACUUAAUUAGACAUUUGUGGUAGAGUUUGAAUGUCUUCAGCAUAAGGAACUUUUGAGCUAAUUGGUAUUGCUGUGAUCUCGAGAAAUUGUCCAGGAGAAAAAUGCUACGAACUAUUUGAGAAAAAGCGUGGGAACUGGACUUAAUGGCAAGAUUCCGUGUAAUUUCCCAAACUGUUUUUGUUUAUUUGAUUUUUCCAAUCCUCGUUCACAAAUCAAAUAGUAACUUAAGAAGAGAUUUUCAAGUUUUCCAUCCCUUUCUUUCUUUGGAGGUGAACUACUGUUUUUGUUUAUUUGUUUUUUCCAAUCCUCGUUCACAAAUCAAAUAGUAACUUCAGAAGAGAUUUUCAAAUUUUCCAUCCCUUUCUUUCUUUGGAGGUGAACUACCCAUAAGUACGUUAGUGGAUUAGGGACAAGACAAGAGUUUGAAGUUGAAUAGGAAUCAAUACGAGAAAUCAGGACAGGCUGCCAAUAUCUUUAAUACUUGCCUCAUGAGUUGCAAGCUGCUGAGUGUGCAAAGAAAAUUCAAACGACCAGGAGCUUAGCUGAAAUGCGUUUAAGGAAACAAUUAGUAAAUGAAGCACAAGAGACAUGAAAUAUUAUUUAUGAGAAAUGAUCAGUACCUCAUGAAAAAUUUCAUCUUCUGGCUUUAUAUAUAUUAUUUCCUCGUCACUAGCACUCAUGCCCUUUUUCUGGUGUGCAUUUUUGUGCUGUAUUUUUCCAUCCGAAAACAAAAUAAAUAUAUGGCAGAGAGAGGGGAAGAGGGUUCAAUUGGCAUGGAGAAUGCUUAAAUGGCAUACCUUGUAAACUUUACUGACUAUUAUAUAAAACUUAAAAUGAAAGAAAUUGCGGAGCCCCUCUGUUGGCUACAAGAAGUGAAACAACAACUGUUAUUUAAGUAAAAGAAUUUGUUCCCAGCAGGUAUGGAAAUAUACAUAACCUCAAUCCCAUAUAAUCUGAAUCUAACCUCAUCUUCUGUAGCCCAAGAGACUUCAUCAAAGAGCGCAUCAUAAAGAGGUGGCCAGAGCUGUGGAGGUAAAUUCAUCACCCGUUGAGAGACCAAGAGACCGACACUCUCUGCUUCCUUUCCCAAAAGUGCUCGCAGGUCAUCUAUUACAUCCUUCUCUUGAGAUACCUUAAGGAGAAACUCCUUAACCUCCAUAAAACAUUUGUGGUCCUAUUAAGAAUUAAAGAAACGCAAUCAAGGAUCUAAAUAGUAGGAAAAAGCUAUGUAAAGCUAAGAAAAUGCCUACCAACAGAUAAAUGUUAGAAUGAUGUAGCCAUGUGAAUAACUGGAAUACAAAAGGAUAGAUUACUUGCCUUAUAUCUGCCCAAGUUAAGGGCAGUAGCAAGAGCAAAAAUUCCAUUGUCUUCAUCAUCCUCUAUUUUAACAACAGUUCCUACAGUGGUCUGUUCCAAAAUUAAGUCUACAAAACCACUCAAAUCCCAUUCUAUAUCAUCAAGGUAGGUCUGUAGCAAGGUCUUCACUCCAUGAAAGUCAUCAGGUUUUGGAUCAAAGAAAGCAAAAUCUGCUUGCACAAUUCCCUUCAAAGUAUGAACCAAAUUCUCAUAAAAUUGCGAGUAGAUACAAUAUGAAAGAGUAUUUACUUUUGUAUUUUAGCUAUCCUGAUACACAAAUGCAACUAUAUGGACAACGAAUACUAUCAGAAUUUUCUAUCCCUUAAAAGAAAUAGUACCAGAAGAAUGUGCUUACAUCAAACUCUUCUUCAUCAGAAGACUCAGAGUGUUCAUUCUUGACUUUCAAAGUAUUCUUUCUCGAUCCAUUACCUAAAAAGAAAGAUAAGGAGUCAUUAGCACGUUCAUUCUGAAACAGUUAACAGAUAGCAAUGUAAUUAUGAAGUGAUGCCUUAUCUUAAGGAAAAGGGCUAUUUAGAUGAUGAUGAUAUUAAUACCUGUGGAGUUAGGUUGAGAUUUUUUCGGGAGGUCUGGGCUGUGCAUUUGGAGGAUGGACAUGCAGCUGGAGGCAACCCGAGCGACUUGACGAGCAAAUGGGGAAAAAGUCAGAGGUUGAUACUUCAUCAAUCGGCGAUGCCUCACCGGUUUACGGGGCAUCUUUGAUUAUCUGUUGCAAUAAAUGGCCGAGUAAGGUUCCGGUCAUUGAGAUUGAAGGAAACCCAUAUCUAUAAGUAACUGAGAUAGUAAGGCAUAUACCCCACAUACAGUUCAGGUCAUUUUGAUAAAAAAUAAGAAUCCAAACAUUUCUCUGUCCAUGAAAAAAAUUAGUAAAUCCAUCCUCUUUUUUCUUUGAGAAAGCACAAAAACUAAAAAAUGCAAUUAAACUCCACAUGCUAAGGCAACCAGAUAGCUGCGUGUAUAUAAUUCACAUUUGAAACUCACUUAAUCCAGUUCCAAAGAAAACUAACUCAAUACAAAAUCUACUAAAACAUAAUGACCUACAGACGUUUAUCACUUACUAAUAUGCAGCUAUAAUUUCAUAUUCUCACUGUUGUUGGGACCAGAAACAAACAAUUUACAACUCAACUGAGCUGCUGAACCGAACAAUUUGGCUUAGUUCAGGUAAGCUCUAAAUAUGACGAAGACCCCAAAAUAAUUUAAACCAAAUGAUUUCAACGGACUAAACACGGAGCUGCAUGGCUUACAAAAAACUGGAUGAUUCACUUAUCGAGAAAAAUAUAACAAAACAAUAAUUUAAAUGAAAAAUAGAAUUGCUUCGUUGCGUAAGUAGGUUAUUCAAUUUCUUCACAAAACAUAAGCAAACAAACAUACAGAGAACAACUACUUUUUGAUGAAACAGAACAUAAAUAGGAGUCUGAGAAGCAAGGAUUAUAAUGCGAACGAAAGACUUACACCGUACUGGUAAGGAAUUAAACCGAGUGGAGAUGAGGACCUAAACUCGGCGACGGCGCGGCGGUGGGUGCGGCGGAAUCUAGAUGUUGAAAAGAUUAAUUGGCGUAAAAGCCAACACAGAAGCUCCAAUGGCAAAGGCUCAAAGGGCCUUUUAUAUUUUCUUCCUCGCUUUUUGUUAGCUUCUCCUCCGAAAACAUAACCAAAAGAAGUAAAAGGAACCCAAUAACAUCAAUCAUCUAUACUGGUAGCUAUAGCUAGGAUCUCUGUACCCUCUCUUUCUCUCUUUCCCCAUAUUUCUUCAACCACCAAAUCUAGAUCCGGGGAUUUUUAAAAAAAGAGUUUUGGGGUUUGAGUGUGGCUUGACUAUCGGGCGUUUGGGGCGGUAAGGUCGUUUGUGGUGGUGGGUGCGUUGGGGCAGAUAUGGCUAUCGGUCGGUGGGUGGCUGUGUGCAGUGGCGGAUCCACAUUGGGGUAAAGGGGGUCAACUGACCCUUGCAAACCAGUAACAAUGGCUUGGGGAGAAGAAAUGUGACCCCUGCAAUUGCUGCUUCUUUUUCUUUAAAACGAUAGGCCUUACUUGCUUGAUUUGCAGACGGCGGCUAUCUCGUUGCAGAGGCACUGUGCUAGCGCGAGGAAGAAGAUGAGGAUUUCCGACUUUUUUUUGUCUUCUCAAAACACACUGAACGACGUCGUGUUCUGAUCCAUAAAAGAGAAGAAGGAAGAAUGAUGUCAUUGUCACGUGGGUAAAGCCCACUAAGUUUAGGUGAAACGCGCGUUUGGUCUGUAAAUUUGUUGGUCAAACACGUUUGGUAUCAUUUUGUAUUGUUAAAAACAAAUAGCAACUUAAUGGGCUAAGGCCUGGUUUCAUGAUAGUGGUUAGUGGGUAAAUUAUUUAAAAAGUUUCUCCUAUGGCCAAUAUAAGUAUUAAUUUAUUAAUAAUUCUUGUUUUUUUUUCUUUUCCUUCUCUCAUCUUUUCCUUUUUCUUUUUUCUUUUUUUUCCUCUUUUUUCCUUCUCUCUUCUCUCCUCUCUCGCUCUCUCUUUUUUUUUUAAUUGGAGGAGACGCGACACUAACUUAAAAUAUUACAAGAAGAGAAUCAAAAGCUAUCAAAGAUGAUAUAUUUUUACUCUAAGGACAUGCAAGAGCAACUUGAGGCCUUGCAUCAACCGAUUAAACAUGCGCGAGGAGAUCCAAGUUUUGCUAAAGCUAAAAAAGUGAUAUUUGGAAGCUCAAGUGAUGAGCCCCAAGAAGCGAUGCGAGAAAAUCCAAAAGAGGAUAUCUAGAGGGCCAAACUAAAGUCUCCUAUUAUGGAUCAGGAGACGCGCCAUAAUAUUGUUUUUUUUUUUUUCAACUUGUAUGUGCUUAGCUUUUGUAUGUUUUUAAAUUAAUUAAUAAUGAUUGUUGUAUGUCCUUAGCUUUUGUAUGCUUUAAUUAAGUAAUAAAGAAUGUUUUGGUUAAUUAGUUUAGUUUUUGUGUGUGUUAGUUUUUUUUGUUAUUAUCUAUGUUGCACCGAUACGGAUACGGGUACGGCGAUACGAUACGAUACGAUACGUCGAUACGGCAAAUUUUUAAAAAAUAGGAUACGGGUACGGCACCGAUACGGCGAUUAAAAUAAUAUAAAUAUAAAAAUUAUAAAAAUAUAAACAUAUAUAUGUAAAAUUAUAUAUAUAUAUAUAUGUAAAAUUAGCAUUUUGGGCUUUUUUUUCUGGUUCCUUAUGUUUUUCUAGGCCAUAUAUGACUUGUUUCAGUUCUUGGGCUCGGCCCAAAUGAAUGCAUCAGAAUUAAAAAGGUAUAAAACAAUUUUUUUAACAAACAUGCAACUAAAACGGUGAGUAUUGUAAUUAGGGCACCCAACAUCAUCUUCUUCACUAGUUAGCCGCCUCUUCUUCGCACAGCAACUAUCUGCAACUGCAGAUUUGCAGCAGCUGCAAGCGCAAGUAAGUUAUCUUCUUCUUCAUUCUUCCUUCUUCCUCCUUCCUCCUUCUUCCUCUUAUCUUUUAGUUGCCGUCAAAGUUACCCAUUGAUGUAUCGGGACCGUAUCAAUGGAGUAUCGGAGCCGUAUCGUAGAGUCAACAUCCUAGAAAAGUCUACGAUACGCCACAUGGCGUAUCGGAUACGUAUCGAUGCCGUAUCGGUACCGUAUCGUAUCGGCGCCGUAUCGGAUACGAGCAUACCCCAAAAAUCCGGCGUAUCGGUGCAACAGAGGUUAUUAUACUUAGCUAGUCUGGUUUUUGUGUUAAUUUUCUUCACAUUUUUCGUCAAGCAAUCUUUGUAGAUUGGUUAAUAAUAAUAUUGUGUAUUCUAGAUUUUUCUAAAAAAAUUUGUGAGAUUUUAUAUGUUGACCCUCGAAGAGAAAAUUCCUAAAUUCGCAACUGGCUGUGUGGGGUGUGAUGUGGGGGUAGGUUGAGAUGGGAGGAGGAGGGGUUUGACGAAGAGAGGGGGUUGUUGCGGCUUGGGAAAAUAUUUUGUUUGUUUUUAAAAUAUUAAUUUUAAAGAAUUCAUCCAUCCAUUAAAAAUUGAGUUUAGGUAGAAAAAUUAAGUAUAAAGAAAAAUAAAUAAUAUAAAAGGAAAGUAAAAAGAAAUUAAUGUAAGCAAGGUAGAAUAGGAAAGAAAAAGAAUAAAAAAGAACAAAGUUUAUUAAAAAAUAUUAAAAAAUAAAAGGAAGUGUAAAUGGAGAAAAGGGGAUUCCUUUAAAUUUUGAACUGAAACGCACAUUUGAUGUUUUUUGAUACAAUUUUUUUAUAUUUAAAUUACGAAUUUGCUUGCUACAGGAUGUUUGCUUGUUCUCAUUCAUACAGACAUUGCAUUGCAAAAAGAAGAUUAUAUUGCCACAAAAAUUCAAUAAAAGUUAUAAAAUUCUAGAUACUUGUCUUUCAUGGUUCAAAACUUCAAAUAAAUUAGUUCAUACCACUUAUUAUUAUACUGGAAUUUAUCAUUAUGCUUGAAACACAUUAUAAUUGAAAAUGCUUGUGUUUUUUAAAAUAUAUAUAUUUUUAAUUGCAAUAAUUUACGUUCAAAACGUUUACGCCUUAAAAUUUUAAGACUUACGUCUCAUUUUACAAGGAAUAAAAAAUCUCAAUGAGUGCCUUACCUUUUAAAACAUUGGUUUCAAUCCACAACCCUAAUUGUUUAUAUUUUAUUUUAUUUUUUGGUUGGUUAGCAUGAGUUUUUGUUUUGGUUAAUUAUGUUGAGGCCCAAAAAAUCCACAAUUGGGCCUGAAAAUAUUCUCGGUCCAAAACGAUAUAUUAUUGAGAAAAGACUCGAUUUGGAGCACACGAAAGUCCGCCACGCACAAGUCACACUCCACGUGCCAUGCCAAAUAAAUAAUCCGUCAUGCUAGGAAUCGAGAUUAAGAUUAUAAAAUGCAUUAGCUCUACAAAUCCAUGCUAAUUAUCCCACCAAGCAUCAUAAUUAAAACAUGCCAAGCGACAUGCCAUGCCAAGCACGAAAUCGUUAUCUCACACCCAACCACGCUACAGGCCUAAGUGGGCCCAAGCCACUCAAACACCCGGGCUUGCUUGAGUGGGUUGUGGCAUGGAUGGUAAUGAAUCAACAUGAGGCCCAUUGAUGGGCCGAGAAAUGGAAGGUCUCGGAUUGCUUGGGAGCCUCGAGACUCAAGCUCAUUUCUUAGGCCCAAAUAUGUGGGUGAGCACAAGAGAGAAAAAUAGCCCAAUAGCCCAAGCAAAAUAGCAUAUUGACACAACCAAAAAGCCCAAUGUUUAACAAAAAUAGCCCACUUGCUUAAGGAACCACCUUGGCCCAUACAAAACCCCAAAAUAAGCCACAAAAAUCUCAGCCCUUUGCUGGAAAAAUAGAAGCCACGUAGAGAAGGUCUGCAGGAUCAUUGAACAGAGUUGCUGGGAGGUUCCAGCACAUGGAGGGAGCAAGUUUCAAAGCCAAAACAUCCAAGGAACCAGGGGGUAUUAGCAUGUAAGAUACCAAAGAGAGAAACACCCUUCGAACCAACAUAUAUAUCCCAACUCCUUUUCUCAUCAGACUUGGCCAUGAAAAAAAGGGAAGAAAGCAAUAAAAGAGAUGGCUGGGAAUGGGAGUCUGCCAUUGAGACAGCUGCGGGAAAAUGGGGCCUUGAGCUUCAAAAAAACUAUGAUCUGGUGCAAAUAGACAGAAAUUUCAUCAAAAUGGGAAGAGUCAAGGAGGGAGAUGAGAAAGGAGAGGAAAAGCUUGGCCAAAAUGGGUAGAAGCCAUUAGGGUUUCUUGAGAAGCGGUGGUUUCCAGCGGCUAUAAAAUAAGGCUUCUCCUACCUAACAAAUCCAACUCAGAUUCAGAGAGCAAGCAUUCUCUCUAACUUGCAAAAAACCUAGCAACCUCGUGCACUAUUCACCUUUCUUCUCCAUUCUUCUCUUCUGGCAGACAGAGCAUUUGUCAAGCUGCUGGAAGAACUCUGUUCUCUAUUUCCUCUCUCUUAGCCAAAUCUCUCACAAAACUUUUCCUUUCUUACCCUAACACUUCAUUUUCCCUCCAAGCAAGCCUAAAUUUUCUCUUAGUGCUAAACUCAUGUUGAUUUUGCUUCCAUGCCACAUGUCACUCACGCUGAGCUUAAGAGUUUAUUUGUAAGCAUGAAGAAAUUACCUGUAAGUUGCCAUUGUUUUGGCUGGUGAAGGUAACCAAAAUACUUCCUAAGGCUUUGCUGCAUUUUCGAAGCAUUUUUGGGGCUUAAUUUUUGAACUCAGACAAAGGGGAUAAUUUCAUCAGUCUGCCCUUUACGGCAGCCCAGCCCAUUUACAGUUGCCGGAAGAAAAAGUCCCCUACAAAUUACUACAAGUUUUGUGUUUUAAUUAAUUGGUGAAAAGUUUGUUUUGGUAAAUUCAUACAAAACAAAAAUUAACACAAAAACGAAUUUAUACAAGGUAUGUAAAUUUACUCCCCUAAUCUCUUCCUCCCCUUUCCUCUUCUCCUCUCAUCCUAUUCUCUUCCCUUCUCCCAUCUCCUAUUCUCACUUAAGAUCACCUAAAGUGAUUAUUCAUAGAAAUGCUUUUUGGCCUAUCUAAAAUCCUUCCCAAAUGACCCUUACAUCAUCUAAAGGUGUAAGUGAGAUAUAAAUGUGGCUUUACACAUCCAAUUUGCAACUUGCGCAUUAGAGAUGCUAUAAUGACUUUAACAGUGCGUUUGGAUGAGGAAAUUUAAUAGUACAAAGGAUGUCAUAAAUGACGAAAUUUAAAAUGACGAAAAUUAAUGUUCUAGAAUUUGUAUAGCUUCGUGUUUGGGUGACGGAUUUAAAACACGGAAUUUAACCUUUAUUUGUAAAGUUAUAUUUUUUUAAAACUCAAUCUCUCUUAAGAUUUUAAAAAUGACGACUUUUAGAUAGAAUUUAAAGUUGGGAUUUAUGAUCUCAAAAUUCCAAGUUUUUUCCCACGAGGAAUUUCUAAAUUUCUAUGUUUUUUUUAAUCCAAACACGAGAAUUGGUUCAUGCCAAUUUAGAAAUUCUGAGUUUUGUCAAAAUCCCAAGUUUAUUUCCCUCAUCCAAACGGACCGUAAGUGAUUUUAUGGAGAAACACUUCUCCCCAUCCCUAGCAACGUUAAAAUCUCUUAAAGUGAUAGGUGAUUCGGGCUCGUUUAAGGCCCAGUUUGGAAUUGCUUUUUUUCGUCAAAGUGGUUUAAAGUGAUUUUAAGGAGAAGCACAUGGAAGGUGCUUCUCCCCAGAAUCACUUAAAAUCACUUAAAGUGAUUAUAUAGAGAAACACGUGGGAGGUGCUUCUCCUCAUAAGUGAUUCUCAUACGUGAUUUUGGCCCUCCUAUAAUUACUUCUAAACAGGCCCAAAGUUUUGGCUAUAUUUGGUGACUAUUGGAUUUUAUUUUAUUACAUUUAUUUGAUUGAAAAUGAUAACACUAAUUCAAUAAUGUGUUUGGUUGAUAAUACACAUGAUUAAGGGAUUGGAUUAAUAAAAAGGUGCUAUUUACAUGGCUAGUAGGAUUAUGUAUAAUCCAAUCCAAUUUAAUCCCAAUAUUUUAGUAGGAUUUCCUACUACAUUUGGCCCUAAUAAAAUUAGACAUCCACCAAUCCAUAUUUAUUUUAAUUUAAUAAAUAUUUAAUUAGAAUUAUAAAUCAUAUCCAACUAUAUAAUCCUACUACAUUUAUGGAUACAACCAAACCAAUCCAUGAAAAUAAAAUUUAAGAAACUGUUCACAUUUUGGAGCACUAAUUGUGCCCCGUCCAAAAAGAUAUACAUGACUUAAAAAGGAAACUUAUUUCUUUAGACAUGUAACAACCCAUAUCAUUUGUAAUUUUUUUUUCAUUUUCCCAAUUCAAUCACGUGACAGUCUGUCAUAAUCAUGUACAUAAGUAUGAGUUACUAUACAAGCAUUGGGCCCCAGACAGAAACAACAGUGGAAUGGGCUCCAACUACUCCCCCACUUCCAUCUAAUCCCUCGUUCUCUUUGGACCUCCAGAUAUUUCAUCACCUUUUGUGCAAAACAACAAACUACUUUCUCACUUCAAAAAAUCUAUAUUUUAAACAUUUAAAAAUAUAUAUAAGAGCAUCCACAAUGGUUCAAUAGUUCAAUAAGAUGAAUUAUUUUGGCAUUUAUUGAAGGCUUAUUUACUGUAGUACCCUCUGAAACUUUGGUCAAAUCUCAUUUCUCCCUUGAAAGUUAAAGUGACCCACUUAACCCCCUUGACCAUGAUUUUGUGUUCCACUUUAUCCCCUACCAUAAACCCCAUUCAAAAUUCUAUUAAAAUUACGUGGCAGGGAUAUUUUAGUCAUUUUCAACACAUGGGUUAUCUACUCAUCAAUCUGAUAAGGAAAAGUGGAUCGCACAUCAAACAUGAAAAAAAUAAUAAAUAAAAAUUAAUUUACCUUCAAAAAAUAAAAUAUAUAAAAAAUCAAUUACAUAAUUACAAAAUUACAAAAUCAAUUUCCCAAUCUCCCUCAACAGCACCAACCCAACCCUAGCCGCUUUCCCAUCCCUAACUCCAGCCCCUCCCUAGUCGCCCCUCUCUUCCCGUCUUUCUAUUUCUCCCUUUCUAGCCGACAAGGCAUAUUUAUUCAAGAAAGAUAGAGCCAAGCUCGAUCCAAGUCGAAGAAACUCGUCGGCGAGUGCCAGCCAAGAGCCACGAGCGGCCCACGCGCCGCAUCAUCGAUGAGGGUUAGCCUAUCUCAAUGGCCUCAAGCUCUUCAAUCAUCUUCUUCAUAUCCAAUUUUUCAGCCACAACAUCAACAACACCACCAAAAAUUAACCCAUCUCUACCACCCAAAAUCCAAUCUUUCACUGUAGUGUUCAGAUCUAGAACUUGGCCACCACUACCCACAUCAAACUUCAUAUCCCCAACUCUUUUCUUACCAAUUGGCUGGUACAUAUGCAUUUUUAGAACCCUUUUUGCAAAUCAAGAAGAAAACCAAAUAAACUACACUUAAAGACAUUCAAAAUCCAAAGAUAGCAAAAAACAAGUAUUCCACUUGAAGACCAAUCUGUCCCAUCACAUCCGCCUAGCAAGAAGCGUGUGAAGAAGAAAGAAAAAAAAGAUAGAGAGAGGUUGCGUAAUUGAUUAUUUAAUUUUUUAUAUUGUGUAAUUAUGGUGUGUAGUUGAUUUUUUUAUUUUUUAACUGUAAAUAAAUUUUUUAUUAGUUUUUUUGGUCUGUGGUGGAUGUGUAAUUAUUAUUAUUUUUUAUUUAUAGAAAAGAUCGUAUUUCAUUAAACCGAAAGGAACAUUACAUGGUAAGAACUAGCAUGUUAACGCCGGCCUGGUUAAAACCUUCUCAGAUAAACAAAAUUCCAGGAUAGGAAAGAGUACCAUCCAUGCUAUUGACUAAACAGAAGAGUCAAACAACUUAUACUAAACAAAUCAACCAAAAACCCAAUCAAAAAAUCCUUAAAACAACAUCUCAUCACUACGUAGGUACUGUCAAAGAAGUCCUCCUAUGAUAUAAAAAAAGCAUCAUAGUUCUUUGUACAGAGUCAAAAACGUACUAUGGGUAUCAGAAUAGAUCUAGCUAAUCACCCAACCGUAAAACCAUUGAAUCACAUCCCAACACUACGUAGAUUCUGUCAAAGAAAGCUUCCUAUGAUCUAAAGAAAGCGUCAUAGUUCUUCGUACAGAUUCAAAAACGUAUUGUGAGUAUCAUAACAGAUCCAGCCAAACCCCAACAGCCACCUCUAAUUUUCUUGAUCCAGAACCCCAGCUGAUAAGCAAGGGAGACCAAGAUUGGCCUCUUAGCCUGAAGAAAAUUCCGAAGAAAGAUCUUCAUAGUAGGAACGUUCAUUGGUUGCCAAGCCCACAACCAUAGGAGAAUUAUUAGGGAGAUCUUGGAGACCACUCGAGGCUGGUCUCCUCCGCCUUGUCAACAAAAUCCUCGAUAAAAAAACUAUGCUUACUAGAAAAAUCCAUGCCACUAACAAUCAAAUGUCCAACACCAGUUUUCGCAUGCUUCUAAUUCCUGCUUGGUGGCGCAUACUUGUUAUCCCUUUGAGCAGAAGAGGCGGUGGCCACCUCCAUAGCGUUAAGAUGGAGACCCCUCACCAGCGACUAGCUCCUUAGGAACCUAGAAAAGAAGCCAACGCAGCCACCCCACGGAAAACAAAAGAGCGAAAAAAAAAAAAAAAGAAGGUCGUACUCAAUUCACCAAGAACCCAAAGAGACAAUUAGAGAAAACUGAGCGAGACAACGCAAAGAAUGAGUACAGAAAACUGGCGAAACCCUAAUCCUAGCCGUCAAGGCUCUCUUUGCGUGAACGAGAGAGCGACCCUUUUGUGGAUGUGUGAUUCACUUUGCCUUAUUAGAUUGGUGGGUAAAUAACUCAUGUGUUGAACAUGACUAAAAUAUCCCUGCUACGUCAGCAAUUUUAACAUAAUUUUGGAUGGAGUUGACGGUAUGGGGUAAAGUAGAUCAACAAACCAUGGUCAAGGGGGUUAAGUGAUAGUUUAAAUUUAUUGGCAUGUAGGCCCCAUAGUUAGCCUAUUGCAAUUCAAUAAAGGGUUCAUCACAUAGCACCCCCUAUUGUGAUUGCAUCUAUUGUAAUGAACUAAAUCACACCAUUGCAAGUGAGAUUUUAUCGUUUUAGUUUAAUUUCAUGCAAUAUUAAUCCUAACCAUUACAGAUGCUCUAAACAAUCCUUUUACUUGCCUUUAU
rnacentral:lncRNA from 1 species